CCUUACCAUAUUGGUAUUGUGUAAUUCCUUAUAUAAAUGGCUCAUAUCAAUGAAUAAGAUGAUGAUUCUCUUGCUAUCUCUUUGUCUCUACACUUUAUCCUUCAUCAUUGUCCAAUUACAUGUGCAAUAAAUGAACUUUUUUUAUUAGGUUGAAGGCAACCUUUUUUUUUUUUUUUUUUGUAGGAAAAGGCAAUAAUGUUUGAGAAAGAAGUAUGCUCUUCUUUGUAUCCAAAAGGGGAAAAUACUAGAGAUUUGUCUACCGGUCGUAAGCAACUAAUGAAUGAUCUUAGGAACAUAGAAAUUCCCAAUUUGGAGAUCAUUUUAGGUUCCAUAAUCACAAUUUACACUUCUCCCAAUGAACCUAGCACAGGUAUUUGGCGCAGACAUCAUUUCCGACAAAUUCGAGCUCAAAUACUACUUGCAAUACACUAACUGAACAUAGGCAGUUAAAAUAUAUUGUGAUGGAAUCUUAUAGCUUAGAGGCAUGAGCAGGGACUUUACUCAAGGCAACAGCUGUCUUUGAACCAGAUGAGCGCCCUAAGUGCUUGCAGAUAAAGUCCCCAGCCAACAUGAGCGUUUUAAGAUCUAUGUUGGUCUUCACUCCAAGUCCAUUAAGCAUGUACACAACAUCCUCGGUAGCAACAUUGCCAGACGCACCUUUAGCAUAUGGACAACCCCCAAGACCAGAGACUGAUGAAUCCACUGUGCUGAUGCCCAUCUGCCAACAGGAAAAAUGUCAUUUCAUUCUACCAUCUUAGGAAAAUAGAGAAAGAAAAAAAGAAAAAAAGAAAGAAAAACAAUGAUGCAUUACAAACAGAAACGAAGAAUUGAAGUGCAAGGGGAAAGUUGCAAAUUACAAUGAUCUUGCCAAAAACUACAUAUACUAUCGUACAAUCAUGAACUUAUUCAACAUUCACUCGUUUAAGAAACUAAGAGAAACAACUUUUUAAGUCAUCUGUGAUGUUAGCCAGCACUAGGAUUGAGGAACACACCAAGUUGGCUCAUUUGCCAGAAAUCAGAACCACAGUAAUUUUGUGUAUUCAUAGAAAAAUUAACAGUAAACUACAUCUAGUCUUGCGAUUACAUUUUUGACUUAGUAAUUUACUAGGGAUUCUGUAUUUUAGAGAUUGUAAAUCAUAAAACAAUCAAUAAGGUCUUCAGAACCAAGGAUACAAAACAAAGACAGCAGCUACAUUAGCUUGGCAAAUUCAUCAACGUUUAAAUUCAGUUUAAUGAAUACUCAGCCACUCGUCAAUUACAAUUCAACAUUUUUAGUUUGCAAAACAAAGUCAUAAUUUGCUUAUAAAUGAUCAUGCAACCCAUUAUACGCUAUCACAUUUUUUCAGACCUUAAUUUGUCCAAAAGAGGCUACAAUCAUCAAAAGGUAUGUGAAGUGUAAAUGCCAGUAGAACUAUGAAAAGUAUAAGCUCAUGUCAAUUCUAGGGAGGAUCAUUGAUUUCUUUCUUCAAAUAGGGGAUUCAGAACGGCAUCAUCUGCUUUUUGAUUCAAAAUGACAUGAGUUUUACAUAUUAUUGUGCCCAUCAAUUGACCAUUUCCACUUUCUUAAUAUAUGAUGUUAGGUUUUUGCAUCUUUCUAUGACCUACUAUAUAUGUUUCUUUGUUGAGAUGAAUGGAAAUACUCAUGAAUUCCUGGUUUCAAAUGUUAAAUGAGUGAACCUGUAUUUCUUGGAAUAAAAUAGACAUGCAAAACAGAACCUCUACCCUAGGGUAAUUAUGUUGGUUCUAAUCAUGUCAAAAAUUGCCGCCGUCAUUAGCAAAAGGUAAAAGCUUCCUUUUAAAAUCAAGAUGAAACACAUGGUUACCUGAAGAGAUACUAGUAUGUUUGAAAGAGCUUGGCCAUACGUGUCAUGGAAAUGGACAGCAAGGUUCUCAGCAGGGACCACAUCAAUAACUUCUUUAAGCAUUGGAACAACAGUACCUGAAAAUAAAAAAAAAUUCGAAUCAACUUAACCAAAAAGUGGUACAACUAUCCAAGGUCAGCAUAGUUCAGCCAUGUAUAUAAAUGUCAAAAUAUGUUCCUGUAAGGGGUAUGUCAUAAAUUAGGUUACUACAGUUUCACAUCAUAAGCACAGAUAACCUGGUGCCUGCACAGCAUGCCAUGGUAUCCUGCCAGAGAUUAUUUUCCUACAGCCAAUUAAGCAAUAACUAAACAAUAUUACUUUUCCCUAAGUCAUUACACAUGACUAUGGGCCAGGGGUUCAGUUCGAGAGAAGCUUAAACAGUCAGUUUGGUCUUUUCUAAUAAGCUUCUACAGUAAUUAGAUGACCCGUAGAGGUGCAUAAGCUUCUAGAAUAAUUAGAUGACCCAUAAGAGUUGCUAUUGGUUUAAUAGGUCUGCCAGUCUAUACAUCUAACAGGUCAAAUUCAACGAAUUACAGCAAAACAAGAUGUGUAGUUGAUGGGGUUGGAAGAAGGUAGAAAACUGUUUUCAAAUUAUCAGGGUUGAUAGUUACUCCCACAAUACGUACAACGCCUGUAUUUCCACAUGCGACCAAUUACUGUCUGAAGUUAACCCAGAAAAUAUUCAACACUUUAGAAUACAUACAAAGGCAAAACAGUUACGCCAACGAUAACCAAUGAAAAAGAACAUUUACCUGGAGUACCAACACCAAUUGUAUCACCGAGAGAAAUGUCAAAGCAACCCAUAUCAUAAAGUUCUUUGGCCACAUAAGCUACUUGAGAUGGGGGAACAGCUCCUUCCGUUGGACAGCCCACAACACAUGAUAUAUAUCUACCAAGAUCAUUAAAUGGUUAGAUCAGUUGGAAAUAAUAUCAAGUUACCCCAGGUCCAUAUGCAUUGACCAUGUAGAAAUGAUUAGCAUCUGAAACUCAGACAUUUGUCCCCAGAAAUGCAUGUGAUCAAGAAGUUAAAUAUACCAAACAAUACAAACAAGAAAACGGUGUUAAAAGAAGUCCAAAUUCUUGAAUAAAACUUUGUUUUAAGAUUUUUGGGGUAGGCUGGGAUAGAAAAGUAAUACAAGAAAAAAAUGUAUAAGCUCUGAAACAAUGCUAUUAUUCCACAACAAUAAUUUAACGGUCUUUGAUUGGCUUAGAGUUAAAAGUGAUCACUGGGGGUCUUAUAAGGUAAGAGAAGGAAAGAAGCAAACAUAUCUUCUAUUAGUCCUUUAAAUUUAAGAGAAUCUGAAGAUAAUCAAGAAAAAGUUCAUCGCUUUCUUAUAUUUCAAUCUACAUCCAAUGAAGAUAAGAGAACUCAAAUAGUGUCCAAAACAGAAAAUGUAUUAAAAGAGAUAUACCCACGAACAGGAAUAGAAAGCUUUCUGGCAGCACUUGCAACAUCACGGUAACGUCUGAGACUGUCUUCAAUGCUGCAGUUUAUAUUUGAUUUUGAAAAAGACUCAGAAGCUGAGGCAAAGAUGGCAACUUCUUUUGCACCAGCAUCGACAGCAGCCUCAAAACCCUACAAGAGAGCUUUAUGAAAAAUCAGUUAAGUCCACACAUCCAUUCAAGUUGAGAAACAAUGCUUUCACUAGAAUUUGCUCACUUUGAGAUUGGGGGUUAAAACGGGAAAUCUAGCACCUCCCAUAUUUCGAAUGGCCUCCAUUACAUCCUUUGCAUCUGCCAGCUGAAAUUUCAAGAUCCACAAGACACUAAAGAAUAUUGAUUCCCCAACCAUAAGCCUUGUGCACGUAAGAAAACCAAACUACGAAAAAGUUGGCUAGUGGAGAAACUUAAUUCAAAGAUACUAAAAAGUUGAUUAAAUAAAACCUGUAUUGGUAUCAAGGACACAAAGAAGAUAAAUAUAAGGGAAGUGCAAAAAAAGAAGCUAAAACCAUGAAAUAAAGAAACAAAAGAGCUGGGAAGAAAAAAAACAGAAAUUAAGUGGAACAACUCAGACUUUAAACAACACAAAUGAUACUCAAAACUUCCGUUGGGAACUGAAAUUUGUAUAAUUUGAAGGAGAACAAGUAUAAGUAGAUGAGAACAGAGAAACAAGACAAAAAUGAAUUCUUGUACGAGCUAACUUAAUCAGCGAAUCUAACCUAAAACAGCCACUAAAACUAAAGUAGUAAAUUGUAAAGCUCAAAAUCGAUCAACAGCAGGACAUUGCUCUCAACCAAGAGCAACAGCAGACAGGCUAUCGCUCGAUAAAUUUCCAUGAACACUAAAAUAAUAGAAGAAAAGUAGAUUCCGCCACAACCCAUGAUUAAUGUAGAAAAUCAAUCGACUAGAUGUCUUGAACCAGAUGUAACAAAAUUUCUUGAAUAUAAAUCUCCAGAGACUAGUAUUCUGUUGAAUAAUUAGCUCCCAUUAUGUGAUAUCACUCCUGCAUAUCCCUCUCUGCAGAUAGAGAAAAAAGAGCUAAUGUGUGGUUUACCUGUGGAACCCAUUUGGGUGAGACAAAGCUGGUAGCCUCAACAACAGUGAGGCCAGACGAAACCAGCAUCUGUAUCAACCUAACCUUAACAUGAGUUGGAACAAUCUGCUUCUCAUUCUGGAGUCCAUCCCUCGGACCCACUUCGACUAUCUUGACAAACUCCGGGAUGUUCGCUAAAGCCGGCUACCACAAAGCAAAGCAACCAAGUCAAUCUCAAAUCAGAUUCCAAAACGAAUUGAUCAUGGAUCAUUAGCAACCUUGUUGAUUGAACAACUGAAACCACGGCUUGACAGAUAGCAAGGCUCAAGGAGCAUGUUCAUCAAACGUCUUGAUACCUUAUGCAUCAUCUUCUCCCAGCCUUCUAGACUCUUAUCUCUCACUUUUCAUCUCACCAAAACAAGACAACAUGUCUUCCGUGUUUCAUACGGAUAGUCGCUCACUGUAUAUAUGAUGACUAAUGAAUUGGGUUUUCAUCAAGAAAUUAUGUUUUUAAAUUCUAUUCUGUUUCUGAUGGGUUUGUCAGUAAGGCCCGUUUGCUAUGACUUCGGUUUUUUUUUGUUUUUUUUAAAUCAGUUUUUUUCUGAAAUUUUAGAUUUUAUAGUUUUUUGUAAAUAAAAUUUUAAAAAUUAGAAGUCAUUUAUAACAGCUUUUAAAAUUAAAGAGGUCUUUAGCAGUUACAUUUCUAUAAAAGAAGAUUUUAACAAGAAUAAGCAAACAGAAACGAACACCUUCAUAUCAUUCCCACAUGCAAUUAUGCAAACUAUGUAUUUCACCAUUGAAAUUUGCUAAAAUAAUGUCUUCUUCCGAGUACGUCAAUGUUAUUCGAAAUGCAUAAUCAUUUGUGACAUUUAUUUGUGUUUGGGAUCACAAUCAGGGGAAUCCCCCCUCCCUCCCUCCCUUAGUCGCAGAUAUGCCAUAACACCUUAAACGUAUCACCCUACUCCAUUUCAGCCAAUGCACCUGAGUUACUUUUUUUUUUUUUUUGACAAGUAGUAACCAACUUUAUUCAAGAUGCAAAUAUUACAGAGGCACAAAGCCUCCCAAGGGUUACAGAGAAAGCCCAAAAUAUACAACCAAGCACAAAGAAACAGAGAUCUACAACAUUCGACACGGAGGAAGAUGCCACCGUACCAACUCAAGGAAGAAGCCGAACAACCAAAUCAAAAGCGUAGAAUAGAGACCCAUGCAAGUUCCAAAAUUCCAACCAUCAAAUUCCCAGAAAUUAAAACAGCCAUCACCUCGACCAUAACAGACCAAACCUGCCAAGAAUAGAGAAUCCAUAACAUCGUGACCAUGGCGAAGAGGAUAGGUGAAAUCCCGUGAAGGAAAGAAACAGGCACCAGGAGGUACACAUCUUCUUGAAGCAUCACCCUAUGCAAUAAUGAGCAGACCUCAUUUUGAGAAGCACCUAUAAGAACAGAUGCGCAACUGUUCGAUCUCCAAAAGAGAGGGACGAGUUGGGACCAAUCAGAUUCAAAAGAAUCCGACCGGGGAGGAUUGCCGAUCAUGGCAGAAGAGAACCCAUCAAGGAAAAGUCGAUGAAAGUAGUGAUAACCGGAAAAUCGAUGCUCUGGAACCAUCAAAACCAACGAGGCCCAAGACGGGCUCCAAGAGGCGCAGCCCGAAACGGCGGGAAGAGUAAAGAAAAGACAGCCGAAAAGCAUACAAACAACCCUCAAGAAGAGGGAAAAUUGGAGUUUUAUCUCUCCCCCAACUCCCAAGCCAUAAAUCCAGAUCGGCGAUCUAGAUCGGGCAUGGGAGAGGAAGAGAGGAAGAAACCCAGACAGGUCGGUUUGGAAGAGAGAAGGCGGAGAAAAUUUUUAGAGAGAAAAGAAAGGUUGAGUUUGGUAAAGAUCCACCCGAGUUACUUGGCCGACCAAUUAACUAGUCUUUUGCAACAGAUUUUGGAGCUCUACUCAUCCUUGCAUAAAAUUUCACUAACCGAAUAGAGAGAGCUACCAUAGAUAUUAUGGAAACAUUAUUAUAGCUUAAAGACAUGAACUAUGAACUUUAUUCAAGGCAAUGGCUGUCUUUGAACAAGAUGAGCGCCCCAAGUGUUUGCAGAUAAAGUCCCCAGCCAACAUGAGCUUCUGAAGAUCGACGUUGGUCUUCACUCCAAGUCCAUUAAGCAUGUACACAACAUCCUCGGUGGCAACAUUACCAGAAGCACCUUUAGCAUAUGGACAACCCCCAAGACCAGAGACUGAUGAAUCCACUGUGCUGAUGCCCAUCUGCCAACAUGAAAAAACAAAUUGUCAUUUCAUUCUACCGUCUUAGGAAAAAUAACCUGAAAUUUAAGUUCAACACUUGUCAUUCUUACUGUCAUGUCAUGCAUUACAUUUCAAAAAAAAACAGGAGAAGAAACUAAAAACAGAACACAAUGACACCUUGAAAACAGAAAAGACAUUCAGGCAAACAAAAACCUGAAAUGCAGGGGAUGACGUUGCAAACUGCAAUCAGCUAGGCAAAAAUUUUAUUUGAAUCAUACAACAUAACCUAUUCUAAGUUUGCUCAAUUAGGAGACUAAGAGAACCCACUCAUAUUAUGAAUUUAGCCAAGAUUAGGACAAAGAAACAUAGCAAGUUGGCACAUUUUUAACAGUAAGAAACUCAGAAACAUGAUAGCUUUGGCUCUGUGUAUUCAUAGAAAGAAUUUGAUGGCAAAGAAAAACAUUAAUGGUAUACUAGAUUGCAAUCCAUCAAGACAUUCUUCCAUUAAUAAUCUACCAGGUAUUCUGUGGCUCAUAAACUGUUUUUAAAACAAUCAAUAAGGUCUUCCGCAUCAUCCAUCAGAUGGUCAAUUCAUUAAUGUCCAACUUCAAUCAGUGAAUACUCAGCCAUCCCAAUUACAAUUGAAAAUUAUUAAUUUGUAAAAAUCCGUCACGAUAUUGCUUAAUAAUAAUGAACGUGAACCUCUAAUGGAACCAUCAGAUUGUUUUGGACCUGAGUUUGUACAAAACAUACUAUAAGCAUAAGGUAGUGGAGUGUAUACAAGCCCACCGAUAGAACUUUGAAACUUAUAAACUCAAAUUACAUUUGAGAGGAUCUUUGAUUUCUCUCUUCGCAGGGGAUUCACAAGCAGCUUUAUGUGCUUUUUGAUUCAAAAUGACAUGACUUCAUAAUAUUUAAGCCCAUCAAUGACCUUUUCAGUUUCCUAUAUUAACAAGUUAGGCUCAUUUGGCCAUUUUUAUGACCCUCUUUAAAUGUUUCUUAGUUGAAAUGAACGCAAUUACUCAUAGGCUCAAAACCUUACUUAACAGAAUGCUGUUUCUGUCUAAUAUGGUUGUCACAUUACGAAGUAAACAUUAUUUCAGUGAUAUCGUGAAGGAAAAAAAACUCACAGUAGGUUAAUUGUGAUGGUCUGAUUCAUGUCAAAAGUUACCAUUUACUUGCAUAGGGUAAGAGAUUCCAUGCUAAAAUCAAGACGCAGAUCAUGGUUACCUGAAGAGAUACUAGUAUAUUUGAAAGAGCUUGGCCAUAAGUGUCAUGGAAAUGGACAGCAAGCUUUUCAGUGGGGACUACAUCAAUCACCUCUUCAAGCAUUGGAACAAUGGUACCUGAAAAGGAAAAAAAAAUAAAACAGCUUAACAAACAUGAGAAAUGAUAAAACUAUCCAUCAUCUGCAGAGUUCAACCAAAUAGACAGAUGUUUAAUAAUGUUCCAAUAAAAUAUAUCACAUAUUAGGUUACGACAGUCCCGCAUCUUAGAAGACAGUCAAUGCACAAUACGGCUACGCAGCAUGCCAGACUACAUGGAAAUUUUCCUACAACCGACUAAGCAAUAACUACAGAAUAGUAACUUUCCCCAAGUCAUUAGACAAGAUUGUGCAUCAGGAACCGACUACGAAAGAAAGCGAGAGUAGACAGUUAUGCAUUUUCAAAUAAGCUUCCACAGUAUUUCGAUAGAACAAAGAUGUGAUGCUUAUGGUACAUAGUGCUGUAGUGAAGCUAAAUUUCAAUGCUCGAUCAAUUGUAAGGAUUGGCUAUGGAGGACCAAACAGGUAUAAAAGGCAGAGUAAAAUGGUUUAGCCUUGUCAAAAUGCAACCUCACAUAUCACUGAACUAAUUUAUUCUUUUUUCAGUAAGAGGAACCAUUUGUAUUGAAAACAAAGAAACACAACUGUCAGAUAUUAGGUAGAGCCGUAGAUGUACAGUCUCUCUUUCUCUUCCUCUCCUUCCCUUCCACAGCCCUCGCAGCUCCCAUCCACAUCCUGUAUCAUCUCCCUUCCCCUACACUGCCACUCACUGUACUCCUUCCCCUAACAUCUGUCCAUCUUUCCAUCAAUUCCAGAUUUAUUUCUGGGUCAUUAGUGGAAAUUUCUUUCUCUUCAGCCUUGUAAGAAGAUCCAGAACUGCUAGGGUCCUAACGUUAAAACUUUUGGCAUGGAUUGUGGAGCAUAGCACCUAACGACGUGCAGUAGAGUACAAACGGAAUGAUCUUGGGAUGUUUGUCUCCCCAUUGUUGCACUUUUUUUUUUUUUUGUAACAAUAAGGGGACACGUCUUACUCCUAUGCUCUGGCACUGCCCAAUCAUAGGUUAAGAUAACAUAUGUGCCGGGUACGAAUGCAACCGCGAAAGAAUAUGGAUUUGCCUGGUUUACACCAAUCUGGGCCACACCCACAGGAAAGGACAAUGAUCACUAAAAUAAAAGUAGAUUACCAGUAAAGAACUAAUAGGUUCUUGCAAUCACCGUAUCUUGAAGCAGUGGAAAACAACUCCAACAGAGGCCUAAACUCACAGGAUGACAAACUCUCACCUCUAAAACUGCCUCAAGAUAUUGUCUAAAACGUUCAAAAGUCGGAAACAGGCUAAAGCACAAGAUUCUAGACCUUAUUCUCAAAAUCGAAAUAAAAAUCCCUAAAAGUGCUAUAGCUAAUAGGUCUAUCCAACGUGUUAGAGGAAUGUAAGAUGUGUAGUUAUACAGUUGGAAGGAAGUAGAAGAAUUAUUUUCAGAUUAUAAAGGGCGGAAGAGUCGGUCCUAGAAUACAAACAGCAUCUUGUACUUCCUGAUGCAACCAAUAACUGUCUGAAAACCAGUUAACACGGAUCAUGAGCAUACAAGGCUUUAGAAUAAAUUCAAUACAAAAAAUAGUUGAACCGAAAAGAACAUUUACCCGGAGUACCAACACCAAUUGUAUCGCCAAGAGAAAUGUCAAAGCAACCCAUAUCUAAAAGUUCUUUGGCCACAUAUGCUACUUGAGAAGGGGGUACGGCUCCUUGUAUUGGACACCCCACAACACGCGAUAUAUAUCUAACAAGAUCAUUAAAUGGUUCCAUCAGUUGGAAAUAAUAUCAUGUUACCCCUGCUUCAUAUGCAUUAACCAUCUCAGAUGAAUAGCAUCUCACACUCAGACAUUUGUAAGAGUACAUGAUGUCAACAAGUUAAAUAUCUCAAACAAUACAAACAAAGAAAAAGACCUAUAAGAAGUAAAACUUCUCAAGGAUUUCUUUUUUAGGAAAAUUUUAGACAUGGUGGGAGUAGAAAGAAAAAUACACGAAAAAAGUUUGUAAGCAAUCUCAAACAAUGUCAUUGCUGCAGAAAAAAAAAUAUAUAUAUAUAUAUAUAAAAUAAAAAAAAUAAAAAAAGAAACUGAACGGUCUAAUUGAUCGUUGAUGGGAUUAGAGUUAAAAGUCAAUCACUGGGGAAAAAUAACAAAUGUGCUAACAAGUGGUCCGAUUAUUUUCUUUUUCAACAAAAAACAGGCAGACAAUAAAAUUUUCAAUAGUCCCUAAACAGGUGAAAAAAAAAAAAGAAAAAGAAAAAAGGGACAAGUCAGAGGGUGGAGAGGGAUUUAAGAAAAACUAAGUAUAAUUUGAAAUGAUUGAUGAUAAGAGAAACCACAUAGUGUCCAAAACAACCAAAGAUGUCAGAAGAGAUAUACCCUCGAACAGGAAUACAAAGCUUUCUUGCAGCAAUAGCAACAUCACGGUAACGUCUGAGACUGUCUUCAAUACUACAAUUUAUAUUUGAUUUUGAGAAAGACUCAGAAGCUGAGGCAAAGAUGGCAACUUCCUUUGCACCAGCAGCAACAGCGGCCUCGAAACCCUACAAGAAGCUUCACAAAAUAAGAGUUAAGUCCUCACAUCCAUUUGAGAUUCUUUCACUAGAAAAUGCUUACUUUGAGAUUAGGAGUUAAAACAGGAAAUCUAACACCUCCCAUAUUCCGAAUCGCUUUCAUUACAUCCUUUGCAUCUGCCAGCUGAAACUUAAAGAUCAGAAAGAUACCAUACAUGUUAUAAAUGCAGCAAUCAUAAAGUAUUAUACCGAAUUGUGAAAGAGAUAUCCAGUGAAGAAACUUAAUUCAAAAACACCAACAAACUUUUUUUUCCCUAUAUAUAGAUGAAGCUUAUAUUGGUUACAAGGGCACAGAGACAAGAAAUUACAAAAGAAGAGCGAAGAAAAAAAAAAGUUGAGAUUCACAAAGAAGCAGAAGAUAUCAAGUAACUCAGACUUUAAUCUACACAAAACAGAUACUCAAAACUUUCUUUGAGCAGUGAGAUUUGUAUUAUUUCAGGGAGCAAGUAUAACUAUGUAAGAAAGUAAAACCAGAGAGAAAGAAAACAAAGUUGAAAACUUAUAGAAGCUAACUUACAGAAAUCAACUAGAUGCCAUAAACCACAUGCAAAGAAAACUGCUUCUAUUUAGAAUAUCUAGAAACUAGAAUUCCGUUCAACAAUGAGCUUAUAAAGGAAUGAAUCUUGUAUCUUGAUUUUCUAAUAUGAAUAUCAGUUACAAUAAGCAUGAAUAGAGAUUCAAGCCAGGGCUAAUUUAGUAAAUAUAAAGUAAUAAACCGACUCAAAGACAUGGAAACGUAUUAGACAACUAAUGUAAUGUUGUGUCUGUAUUAUACAUACACACAAUUUACAUUCUCAGCAUAUCACCAUUUCUUCUCCUUUGUCAUGGCUUAGCUCUUACCAUACAAGUUGAAUUAAUAUACAAUAUUGUCUGGCGGGUUAACUGGCUCAUAUUGACACCUUUAAAUUCUUCUAUAACUCUAGUAAACCCUUUCUUGCGCCAAAGCUGACAACAUCAUUACAAACCCUUUCAUACCUUCAUAAUCUAUAUAAAGCCCUCAUAAGCAAGUAUGCACAAUGUUCUAUACAACUAGUACACCGCAGUAAAAUUACAUAUUGUUAGUUAAAUAAAAACCUUCCCAGAUUAUACAGGAUAUAUUGCGACACAAUUUCCAACACAUUCUAGCCUCAAGUAACUACAAACUUUGGCUACAAUGUAAAUUGAAUGUAUACCUGUGGAAUCCAUUUGGGUGAGACAAAACUUGUAGCCUCGACAACAGUGAGUCCGGACGAAACCAGCAUUUCUAUCAACUUAAUCUUAACAUGAGUAGGAAUAACCUGCUUCUCGUUCUGCAGCCCAUCCCUGGGACCGACUUCUACUAUCUUGACAAACUCGGGAAUCUUUCCUAAUGCCAGCUGGACAUGAUCAAAGCAACUAAGUAGUACUAAACAUGCAUUCAAUCACAUAUGGAAGAAGCUAAGAGGAAACCUUAUUAUUGGUUGAAGAGAAAGCCCCCGAAACUGCUCCAUUAUUCCUCCUCAUAAGUCUUGAUGCCUUGAAUUGAAUCAGCAACCCACUCGGCCUCCGCAAACGUUGCAUUGUAUGUAUGUAUCUUCACAUCAAAAUCCUCCUCGUGUUUUGGCCUCACCUACCUAGGCAUUAAAUGACCCACAUGACACCUGUCUUUUCUUUUCUUUCCCUUUUUGCCAUGUUUCUCAUGGAAUCGAGAUUUCGUUACAGGUCGAUUCCAUCAUAUUCUCUGUUUCCUGAUAUGAAAAUGUUCUACAAUUACUCUGACUGAAAAUAAUGGCAAAAGUGCAAAGACCAUGAUUUUGAAGGAUGACGGGCCAUUUUCAUAGUUUUGAAUUGUGUGCGAGGGAAAGAAGAACCAGAACAAAAAAAGGAAGAAAGAACAAAACCGGGUCGCAAUGGAGGAAAAGAAGAACAGAGAAGGAGAACGACUGAAAUGGAUAAGAGUUUAGGGUAGAAAAGAAACGACAACAUUAGUGUGUGUACUGUGAAUUUAGGUUCGAUUAACUGGAUAAGUUAUUUUCGUCCGAUUAAAUUUCAUUGAAGAUAAAUUUUAUUAACAAAUCCUUAAAUACUAGAUACGGAUCUCAUACUUAUACACCACCUACUAGCUUUGUUGUUUUUAAAAUUUUACUAGAAACACAUCCCAAAACUUCCUAAACUAUUCUCAUUGACAAUACACAACUUAUUCACGAAAUACUCAACUCAUUUCUAAAUCAGCUAGUUCAGCUUGGGGGUUUACAAAAAUACAAUAACAAAAUGCAUGAACAUUCAGAACAUUUCAAGAGAUUGUUAUUUUAUAUCAAAAGGACUAGCUAGUUGUGUUCAAACUUGAAUACUUCAUGACGACCUAGCGUGAAGAGUGAUUUGCCCACCACUUCAACAUUUACAAUUUAUAUAAUGUAUAGAAAAAUCUGAUGAGUUAUCUAUGACAUUCAAUUAUAAACAAUUUUGUCUCAAUCCAGAGUAGACUUAUAUAUAUACCUAUCCAACGAGGGAGAAAUUUUUUUGUCACUUUUAGGGAUACGCCCACUCCAUUAUAUCUGUUAAUUAAUGGGCUUGGUUGACUGAAAUUAAAACAAAAACUUUAACACUUAUGUCAAACCUACACCGUUCAAGAUCAUUAAAAAUAAAUCAAACAUUUAGAUGACUUAACGAUCACCAAAUUUUACAGAGGCAGACGUCCGCAUCGCCCUUAAAGUGCGAACCUUGCCGAUUUUCCACCUUCAGGCGUCAUCACGCAGUUUCUUCUUGCCGGACGGACAAUAGACCUUGAUACGGAGCUUCUUCUCGCCGGCGGACUCACCGGCUAAAAAUUUGCAGCCAACCUUGAUUGAUCUUGAAGUUUUGGGUGAGGUUUUUGCGCGCCCAGACCUUCAAUCCUGAUCUUCUUCUUCAUGGUAACGCCGGCUGGGAUGCCUCUGGUGUUCAUCCGGCAAGCGCAGCCUCGUCGUUGACACCUAAAGGUGGAGAAAUCGGCGAUGUCCGCACUUUAAGGGCGGGACGGACGUCCGCUUCUGAAUCCCUAUAUAUAUAUACAGCCCUUCUCAGCUGCGGACGUCUACACCAAUGGUUUUGGUGCGGAUUUCCAUUUUCGCACCACUUUCGAUCGAAUUUCCUCAACUCCACCGUCUAGUAUCUAGAUAAUAUUAUGUAGAUCAUCUCUGCAAAAUUUCAGCCAAUUUGGUGAUCGUUAAGGCCCUCAAAAUUGGGUUUUUCUGGUAUAAACAUGAACCGGACAGAAUUCAGUCCGUCCAUUUGUUUUUCGAGUUUGAGGGCCUUAACGAUUACCAAAUUGGCUGAAAUUUUGCAGAGAUGAUAUACACAAUAUUAUCUAGAUACUAGACGGUGGAGAUGAGGAAAUUCGAUCGAAAAAUGGUGCAAAAAUGGAAAUCCGCACCAAAACCAUUGGUUCGGACGUCCGCAGCUGAGAAAAAUCCUACACACACACACACACACAGAGUUCCAUUCUAGAGCGGAAACUUUGAGAUUAAAGUGUAGUGCUCCUCAUGUCGCUCACUUUUAGGUCACAUUUUCAUAUCUCCACCGUUCAGUGUCUAGAACAUAGUCUGUAGAUCAUUCCUGCAAAGUUUCAUCCAAUUUGAAGAUAGUUUGAGCUUCCGUAAUUGUGAUUUACGCGGACGGUUCCAUUUAGACAAAUUUUGUUCAUUUGAUUCAUUUAAUCUAAUUUGGUACCCAAAUGAUCUCCAAAUUGGAUGAAACGUUGCAGGAAUGAUCUACAUACUAUGUUCUAGACACUGAACGGUGGAGAUGUGAAAAUGUGACCUAAAAGUGAGCGAAAUGAGGAGCACCACAUUUUAAUUUCAAAGCGGUGUGUGAAUAAAAUUUCUCUUAAUAGAAAUAAAAAAUUAUUGUCUUUCUAUAAAUCAGAAGUUUCCGGUUCAAGAGACAUCAAAUUUGACACAAAUUUUGACACUAUUUAUUGGCCAUUAGAUAUUAAAAUAUUCAGCGGUCUAUAUCAAUUCUAAAUAUGAUGUCAAUAUAUAACUAAUUGAUGUGGCAUGUGACGUGGCAUUAUAAAAUUUCAUAACAAAUCAAAUUAAAAUAAAAGAAGGAAAAUUCAAAAUUUAGAAUCUAGAAAACAAAAUCCAAUUUGCUCGAUAACAAGGAAAAAAACGAUAGAACCCCAAAGACGCAGAAGAACACAGACUAAAAAGAAAAAGAAAAAAAGAGGAGCAAAGAACCGAUUUGUAAUAUAACACAGAUUAAAGACGUACAUUAAUAUAGACAAUGGUUGACAAGGUUUCUGUACUAGCUUCUCAUGUUAGAGUAGUAUUGGUAUUCAUGUCAAUUAUGAAAACAUUGCCUCUCAUGUUGUUAGGACCCACCCCAGAAUUCAUCCUGAAAUCCGAAAUAAACUCAGCAGGGACCACCUUCAAAGGAGAUGCUACCGAAAAUUUGGCAUAAUCUCCCUUGAAAAUGGAUAACCCUUCCUAAAAACACCUGCACACACGUCAUAAAAUCAAACUCCAACCUUAUACUCCUAGAGCCUUCGUGCUCUCCAAUUUCUCAACACCUCCCAAGUUAUUUACUAAUCUAAAAAAAAAAAAUCCCAUAAUCAACAAUUCAUAGGUUCAGAGACAAGAACAGGGAUAAGCGUGGCCCGUGGAUCACUAUUGUACCAAUACUGUCCCAACUUAACCACCUUUAAGGUGUUGAGUUUUAAUCACAAAAUGUCUCAGUACAAUUAAGUGUGGCCAUCCACUUAUAAGUUGUAUUUAAUUUAUCCAUUUUCUGAUGUGAGAUCUUUCCUCUCCAACACUCCCCCUCACGUGCAACCAAAGUUUUUUAGGUCUGCACGUGGAAUUCAUUCAGUCCAAUUCCCACAUCGGAAAUCGAUAAUGGUUCGGUCCAAGGCCCACUACAAGCACUUAGUAUGGUAUGGGUCAAUCGGAAUUUUUCCGAUGGCAAUUCGAUGAACCCAAAUCUGGGCUCAUUAUGCUGGGAGACUUUCUCCGGUUACGCUAGGAGACAUAAUUGAAGAGGGACCCGCUCUAAUACCAACUAGAACAUGGACAAACAAGACCCGUGGAUCACCAUUGUACCGAUAAUGUCCCAACUUAACCACUUUUAAGGUGUUGGGUUUUAAUCACAAAACGCCUCGGUACAAUUAAGUGUGAUCUAUCCACUUAUAAGUUGUAUUUUAUUUAUCCCUUUUCUGAUAUGGGAUCUUUCCUCUCCAACAACAAGCCUUUUCCAGGUGCCAUCUUUUCAAACAACAAGCCUUUUCCAGCUGUCAUCUAAAGAUACUUCAGAAUACGAUACACUGCAUCCAUAUGCUCUUCACUGGGACUAUGCAUAAAUUGACUAACCACACUCACAGCAUAAGCAAUAUCAGGUCUAGUAUGAGAAAGAUAAAUAAGUCUCCCUACUAGACGUUGGUACCUUCGUUUAUCAGUUGGAACUUGAUUUGGAUAGAUGGCAAGGUUGUGAUUCAUCUCAAUUAGUGUCUCAACAGGCUUGCAGUUAAGCAUUUCGGUUUCAGCUAACAAGUCAAGUACAUACUUACGCUGGGAUAAAGAAAUCCCAUUCUUUGACCUUGCAACUUCAAUUCCGAGAAAAUAUUGUCCAAGGUCCUUCAUCUCAAACUCUUUUAAAAGAUACUUUUGUAGACCCUCCAUCUCCUUUAGGUCAUCUCUUGUAACAAUCAUCUCAUCAACAUACACAAUCAGAGCGGUGAUCUUACCCAGAUUACACUUGGUGAACAAAGUGUGAUUCGAGUUGCUUUGUCUAUAACCAAAUAUUUUCAUUGAUUUGGAAAAUCUUCCAAACCAAACUCUAGGAGACUGCUUCAAACCAUACAGAGACUUCUUCAACUUACAAACCUUUCCGACAUCGCAAGGUCUACAUUUGACCCCUGAGGGCAUGUCCAUAUACACCUCUUCUUCCAAGUUUCCAUUGAGAAAAAUAUUAUUCACAUCAAACUGUCGUAGAGGCCAAUCUUUAGUUGCCGCAAGUGAAAUCAAGAUUCGAAAAGUGUUGAUCUUUGCUACAAGCGCAAACGUUUCUUCAUAAUCAAUGUCAUACCAUUGGGUGUAUCCAUUGGCAACCAACCGUACUUUAUACCUGUCAACGCUCCGAUCUGCUUUCAACUUUAUGGUGAAUACCCAACGGCAUCCAACGGUCUUCUUUCAAGCUGGUUUAGGCACAAUAUCCUAAGUAGAGUUUUUCUGUAAUGCCUCUAAUUCUUCGUUCAUCGCCUGAGUCCACUUGGGAUCUGUCAUUGCAUCAUGUACAAUACUAGGAAUAGAAACACUGGAUAAUUCAUUAAUGACAAGAGCAUGUGACCCAGCUAACCUAUGGUUAGACAUGUAAUUAGCUAUAGGAUAUUUAGCUUUGGCUUUGAUGUCUGGUUCAUAUUGUUUCUUUGGAAUACCCUUGGUAACCCUAUGUGAUUUCCUAGUUACAAUAUUAUCUAUCCCAUAUAAUUGGUUUGAAUUUAAAAGUACAUGAGUAGGGACAUUUGCAGUAGAUUCUUGGAUUGAUGGUGUAGAGAAAGGGAAACUAUCUGACCCAGAAGAAUUUGGAAUUACAGGGACGACAUCUGAAGGCUCAGCAGUUAAAUUGAUGGGUUUGUCGUGUGGGUCCCCUUGUAAAGUCGUUGUUUUGUUUCUACCGACACCAUCUGCAGCACAAGGUGUGUCAACUAGUGGCUGCACGACACGUGGCGAGUUCAGAGUGCCUUCCAGCUGUGGUCCAACACAUGUGCCGCCGUCCUCCUCAAAAUGCACAACACAUGGCGCCUGUGUCAAUGUCAGCAGCUUCUGUCUCUUUGUCCUUCUCUUGCGUCUCUUUGUUAUUUGUGGUUUCUCCGACUCUAAAUCUCGACUCCAAUGCUACUAAUUCUUCAAAUUCUUCGAAUUCAAAUAAAUUUCGGGAAUUCCCUUCAUAUGCUCUCUCCCCGUGAAGGAAGACUCUAAUACUCCCUCUGAGUAGUAAGGCUCAAAUUCGCGAAAAGAAACAUGAAGGGAUACAUGCAUGGUGUCUGUAAAAGGAUCAUAACAUCUAUAUCCUUUCUAAAAAUUUUCAUAACCCACAAAAAUACACUUCCUUGCACGGGGAUCAAGCUUACUUCGUUGUGGUUUUGGAAUAUGAACAUACACUCUACAUCCAAAUACACGAGGCUCCAAGUUAGGUAACAAAGGAAUCGAGAUAAGUUUUUGAAGUUGUUGUAGAAGGUUUUGACAUUCAAUAACCCGAGAAGGGGUAUGAUUAAGGAGGUAGGCAGCACAUGUCACAGCUUCUCCCUAAUAUUCUACAGGUACAUUAAUGCCAAACAAAGACACAUGGACAACUUUAAGCAACUGCCGAUUUUUCCUCUUUGUCAAUCCAUUUUGCUGAGGAGCAUAAGUAUUUGAAGUAUGAUGUUGAAUUCCAUGUAACUGCAUAAACUCUUGCAUAAGACCGUUAAUAUAUUCUCAGCCAUUGUCAGAUUGGAAAACUCGAACCACUUGUUGAUAUUGUGUGGACACCAUCUUGUGAAAUUCUUUGAAUCUACAAUAAACAUCGCUCUUGUUCUUCAAUAGAGACACCCAAGUCGUACGGGCACAAUCAUCAAUAAAUGUCACAAAAUACCGGGCACCAGAGAAAGAAAGAAUUUCUACAGGACCCCACACGUCAGAGUGAAUCUUCAAAAAUGGAACAUGACUUUUAUUUAGGCUUGGUGAAUAUGAAAUCCGGUGGCUCUUGCCCAGUUCACAUAUGUCACAAUGAAAAUCUGAAUAGUCGACACCCGAAAAUAAUUGCGGUUGCAGCUUCUCAAGAUAACUGAAGUUUAGAUGACCUAACCUGCGGUGCCAAAGCCAAACAUCUUUCUUAGUACUCUUAGCUCUAUUGACCUGAUUAGCUUGACCCAAAGACUGCAUAUGUUUCACUCCUGUCUCUCUCAGAUCUAGGUAGUACAAUUUCCCUUUUCUCACUCCAUAACCCAAAAUCCGUCGUGUCAGAAUGUCCUGAAAUACAUAGAAAGACAGAUAAAAGGUGACAAUACAUGAUAAUUCUUAAAUGAUUUGUCCAAUUGAGAGAAGAUUGUAUGACAAUGAAAGGACGACUAAUACAGAAUCAAGGGUUAAUGUGUUUGAUAAGACAAUAGAGCCUUCUCCGGUAACCGGAGUUGGAGUACCAUCAAUGGUAGAAACAAUAUUUUGAGAGGGUUUUAAUUUUUUCAAGAGGCUAGGAUCAUUACACAUGUGAUCUGAUGCUCCUGUAUCAAUAAUCCAAGACCUAUUCAUACAUACCUUACCACUCAUACCUGACUGUGCGACAUUGGAGGCAUUGGAUGGUUGGUCUUCCUCUGUAGUUGUUAUGACAGCUUUUACUUGAAUCUUUCAGGGUUUUAGGGUGAAAUCCCACCAAUCCAGAUACCCAAUUGUUUCAAAGCAACGUUGCUUGCUAUGACCUAGUACUCCACAUAGUGGACAUUUUGAGUUCGCAUAUGAAUUUGGUUUACAUGGAGAUCGGCAUGGUGCGAUGGUAUGGUAGUUGAUUUUGUGUGCCAUUUUGGAGGUUUGGUUUUUGAGAUUCAAGGAUUCAGGAAUUAUGAUUUUGAUGUAUGCAACAAUUUGUUUGUGGUUUGAUUCGGGAUUUAGGUUUGGUUUUGGGAUUUGGGAAUUUGUGUGUAAUUUGUGGGGGUUUUUGGUACGCAGUGAUUUGUGGUGUUUUGGGUGUAAAUUCAAAAGAUCGAACCUGACAAGCUCUAAUGCCAAGUAGAAAAUAAUGUUCAAUAUGGUUUGAUAUGUUUCAAUGUAUAUUCUUUUUCAUAUAGGAGGUUUAUAUAGAGAUACAAUUGUAGUGCUAAUAGGAAAAUAUUUCCUACACCUAUAAAUAAUAUUUAACCUACACAUAUAAGGAAAAUAAAUAUUUACAAAUAUUCUACACAGAGCAACUCUAAUAAGGAAGAAAGGAAACAAAAAUACAAAUAAGCGGAAGCUAUAUUAUGGACUAUGCCUCCACUCCAUGAACGCCCGACCUCAACUAAGCUAACCUGCAAGCUGGACAUUUCAAAUCGAAUGGCCCAGGAGAGAAGCAUUUGAAAAAACGUACAAUUAAAUAAAACUUUAUGCUUUCCCAAAUUUAAUCUCUUUAGAAAAAUCAUGAUGCAUGCAACUAAGUAAAGCUCUUGUCCUAGAGAAAAUUGACAAAAAAAGAAAUACGUGACUAGCUCCGCUAGUCUCCAACACUAUAAGAUAUUGAGUCUCUCAGGCUCUAGUAUAUAAGUAUGUAUUUACACAUGUGAUAUCCAUGUAAAAUUUUUUGUGAAAUUAAAAAUUCAUACAGGACUACUACGCAUGCAUCCCACGCUCUCAUCACACUAGUGGUGGGGUUUAAUCGCUACAUCAUUAUGGCGGAAAAAACGGGUGUAUAUAUGUGCUGAAUACCCCCUAUAUGAAUUCCUACAUUUAUAUAGAGCUACGACGUUUGCAUCCCACACUCAUGUCACACCAUAAUGGCGGCUAAUUGCUACACCAUUAUAGCGGAAAAAAACAUAUGGCUAACUAGCCUUUAUAUACAUACUCUCCUCAUAAGUAUACAUAUAUGUCUACCGAAAAUCCCAUUUUCGGUAACUCUCCAAAUUAAAGAAAAUUGUCAAAUAUAAAAGAAAGCAAUAUGCAUACGACUCCACAGAAAACCCCAUUUUCAAUGACUUUCUUAAAAUAAUAAUAAAAAUUACCAAUUUAAAAAUGACGCCAUAUACUCUAAUAAAAAGAAACUGUUCAACAACAAUCCAUUGCAUGCAUAUAAUUUAAAACAAAAGUCCACUCACAGAUUAAGCCUAGCCUCACAAUGCUCGGGACACUCCUCAAACGCUGCCUCCAAACAUCCAAAUCCUCGAAUCAAACUCACGCCUGAAGAUAAGCUGUAGGACAAAUAAGUCAGACCGUACCGCGAACAACCAUUGACUCAACGUCUAUCCUAGUUUAACUAGGGUUCCUGGGUUGACCAGGAUUGACUAAGUUUGACCAACUGACUUAAGGUUGACCAAUUAACGGUCUUUCGACGUUUAACAACUUAACCUAUAACUUAACGAUUUGAGUCAUUUUCACUAAACGUCCUACUAACCGUUAAACAUUUAGGCGUCGCAUAAUAAUUCACAUAUCACUAAGGACACCCAACCUUUACGCUUAAAAGAUCGGUUUGGUAACCUUCGGUUUCGAUUAAUCAAACUAGUGUAAUUUCAAGGACUCAAACAUACGGAAAACAUUAAUCUGGAAAACCCACUGAAUUACUAAGGGCACCCAAAAGAGUUUCCAUAAAUAGGAAGUUUCCAGAAAGGGAAAGUUUCCAAAGUAGAAACUUUCCUAAAAUAGCAGAUUUCUUGACAAUAAUCCAACUGACCCAUUUUCAAUACUACGACUUGAAUUGGAAAGGAUGCUUGAAAACUACCUUCUCGGCUAGGGGUGGGUAUAAAAAACCUAAAUCCCGGUCCCGUCCCGGUCACGUCCUGAAAUUGGACAGGAUGGGACGGGAUCUAUGUCUAAAAACACUAGGCCCGUCCUGUCCCGUCCCAUAGAGAAACAACGGGACGGGACGUGGGACUGAAAAGUUGAGGCCCGUCAGGCCCGUCCCGUCCCGAGUAAAAUAUAGAGUACUCUCAGCCAUUGAUUUUUUUUAGAUAUUUUGAUCUCAACCUUUGAUUUUUUAACCCUAAUACAAACUCUCUGUCACUCUUUCACUCUCUCAGCCUCUCACUCUAUCACUCUCUUCAGUCUUCACUCUUCAGUCUCUUGCAGUCGCGUGAACCCAACGCUCUUUCAAUCCGCUUCCUCCUCGGUCCUCACUCUCUCAGUCUCUCUUUCAAACUUCUCCACCGCUCGCUUCCUCCUCCUCAGCUUCCUCCUCGACGCCUGCUUCCUCCGCCUCCGCAUCUCACCACCCGAUUCCUCCUCCUCCGCUUCCUCCUCGGCGCUUGCUUCCUCCUCCACUUCCUCCUCACGAACUACAACCAACGACGAGGCAACCCCAAUCUUCCUAGGACCAGCGUGACUUCUCGGAGCAGCAGCAACAAGCACCGUGCCUCCUCCUCCUCCGCCGCUUCCUCCAUCAGGCAAGAUUGUUCCCUCUCUCAUGCUUUUAAGCUUCACAGUGCACCCAAUUCUAUAGCUCUACUCCUAAUUUCACUGAAACUCAUGAAUCAAAUCCAUUAUUUUUCUCACAGUGUUUGCUUCGGUCUAGCUCGCUGCUUGUUUUGAUUGUUUUUUUAUUAGGAUGGUUGCGAUCAAAUUUAGGCAUUGAGCGAUGUAGUGGAAGUGAGAUUUGGAUACUUGAUAUUGAGUGUUAUGGCAAUCGUUAAAGAGAAAUCUAUCAUUGGUUAGAGAAAUCAUCAGGCAAGAUCAUUAGUUUAGACGCAAAUAGUUUAUAUGAAUUAGUUAUACUGUUGCAACCGGUAUUGUCAUCGAUGAUUAGAGUUAAAAUUGUUUGUAUUUGGAGUAGCUUGGAGCAACUUGUAUUCAGAUUCACUAAUUGUUUUCUUUUGAACUUUAUGAUGUGUGAACUUAAGUACUUGUGGAUUAUUGAUGUUACCCUAGUUUAAUUCUAGUUAUGAAUUAUGGAUUCAUAUGAUGCAAUCUUUAUAUUAUUAAGUAAUAUUGGGGCGGGAUGGCGGGAUUAGGCCUGUCCCGUCCAGGUCCCAUUUAGGACGGGACUUGCGUGGGAUCAAGUCUUAAAAACGUAAGGCCCGUCCCGAUCCCGUCCCGUGUGCAAUGUCCGGGACGGGCCGUGGGAUGACCCUAAUCCCGUCCCGUCCCAUGCCCAGCCAUAUUCACGGCUCUCUGCCGGAUCUGCUGUUUCGCAGGAACCAUCGCCGGAUUCUAGUGACUUGCCGAAAAACUGCAUCGGAUUUCGACGACUAGCCGAAAAAUUCGCCAUAGCCUACCCGUGAACUACGAAUCACCAAGUUCUCGACAAAUAACAACCAAAACAACAAAUUAACACCUCCACAACGCAACCACAAUAACCCAGAAGCUCAAGGAGACGAGAUUACCUUCUAUUUUUCCAAAACAACGAACCAAUCGAAGAAGGAAGCUCCUCCUUGCCGAACCUCAACCUCAACCGGGCUCCUAGGCCUCCGCUUUAAACCCAGAUCGAUGCAGCUCCAAAGCUCUACCAAAAGGCAUCUGGGCUUCGCUCGAGGUUUGCAGGUCUCAUCGGAGCACGAGAAGCUCAACAAAAGAACACAUUGUCAGAGCUAAGAACUCGAAACCUAGAAAAAGUACAAAAAAGGGGAUUUUCAAAUUACGGCUCAAAUCAAAAAAUUAAAGACAUGGAAUCGAAGAAAAAGGAAGGAGGAAAAGAACCCUACCCCUCGCUGUCGCCGUUGGAGCUCACCAAAAAAUGAUGAACACAAUCGUGCUUUAGCCUGUUCGAUCUCCCUCUAUGAUGGUUGUAUGUCGAAUCAAUGGGUAGGAGGACGUAGAGGAGAGAGAUACGAGUCCAUUGGUGAUCACCAAUCGAUCUACGGCGGCUGGACGACAGUGGAGAAGUGGUUGGCAGCCGAGACGGCUACGUCUCUCUCACUCUGUCUCUCAGACCCUCUCACUUCUCUUGACAGAACCCCAUAAGGGAUUAGGGUUUUUACCCUAUAUACUUGGGGCCGUAUAGAAAGGAAGAAAAUGAAGGGCUAAGAUUAAAAAUAGAAAAUAGAAAUAGAAAUUUUAAAAUACUCGAGACUUUGAAAAUUCGUAAGAAAUAACUUAGUGCUCUGAAGAAUAUUCUGAAGACACCGGUGAGCUCAUGUCGACGCGUGCAUCUACAUCCAGGCCUUAAACCAAGAAUUCGACAUUUUGGGAAAAACUCAAAAAUGGACUUGAAUUUUAACUUAUUAAGUUACCGACCACGGUUAAAUUCUUCAGUAACACGUAAAAACAUCUAGUAAAUAGGUAAAGUUAGAUACGGGCGUUACAAUCACCUCGUCCUUAUAAAAAUUUCAUUCUCUGAAUUUCAAACCGCACUGGUCAAUGCCAUUGGUCAAGGGUCAACUUACUUUUACUCUUUGUUUCGCUCAAAAGCUCGAUGGCUUGACAAGUGACAUUGUCACAAUUGAAACAUUGGUGAUCAGGUUCACCAAUCUCUAGAUCGACACGAGUAAAGCUUCCUCCAAAGGCUCUAAAUGUUUCGCUAAACCACCAAUGUUUGCACAAAGUUCACGAUGCCUGCUCCAGAGCGCGAGUACCCGUAGGUCAGCAUACAUUUUCUCAUACUGUGAAAUUACCUAACACACUCGAAGAACACAAUUCGAUUUCAACGCCGGGCUUAAAUCUUCAAACGUCAUGUAACGAAUUUGCAAUUAUGAUGAGCACAAACUCGACAUCAAAGCCUGCUUGUUAAGAAGCUAAAGUUCACACGACAGAGUAGUAAACCUUCAUUCUCCACUCAAAUCUAAAUUAAUUAAAUUUUUUUUUUUAAAUAUUGAUGUCAAGUCCUACUAAAUUAACACAGUCAAAUCAUGUUGCCUGACUUAACACCGAAAUUCACACAAGUAGAUCACCUUCUUAAGUUGUGACAGAAUUUGUACCCCCAAACCACACUACUUAUUUAGGAUACGGCCAUAUCAAUAAUUCUAAUAGAUAAAAUCACAUGGCCCACUCUAGCCAUUUUACAAGAAUUAAAAAUCUUUAAACUGCACAACACACUUCUCUUCCUACCUCCAAUAAUAAAUAGUCUGACAAUAGAAUUUGAUCUAAGAAACAUUCAUGGGCAAACUCUUGUACACGCUUGACACUACAGUUUCAAACCUCAAAAGCUUCUAACCAAUGUAUUGACAACUACAAAAUUACACUUGGAUUAACUCCAUUGGUCGUCAAAAGCGGUGACAACCGGAAACAAGACUUAGAUUUACCACUGCCGCGAUGUACAUGUAAAGAACAUCAAGUUACCUAUCGCACGUUAAAAUUAGUUUCCAUACAGGACCCGCUACUACCCUUUGUGGUUCGCCAACCCACGAAAACUAUGAGUUUAAGUAAAAGUCAAAACUCAUGGCAAAUCUCAGCUCAAGCUACAGAAUAACUAACUUAUAGAACUUGAGGCACAGCCCCAUAACUUCGAGCUCAAAAGCUUCACAAUUCUCCGACAUCCGCUAGAAACUCGUUUCGAAAACGUACUAGAAACCUGAAUUCAAUAGUGGUUUCAACUAAUCACCCUGACAUCAACGGAUGAACACACAUCCAAACAACGAUGACCUCCCAGAUCAUAUCUGGAUUAGUAAAGGAUCCCUAGAAAAGACGUCGCUCAACUUAUCAGUAUAUCUACUACCCUCUAUAUUAAAACUCUUAAUAAUCAUUGACUCGAAAUGCUUCUUGAGUCCACAAGGAAACUCUCACCCUUAAGGCUACGCCACAAGUCAAACACAACGUCACGCAUACAAUCGAUUCAACAUAUCCACGCGACUCCCAGACUACCACAUAUAAUUUUAUGACUUCAUGGUUCGUCACUUAAUCGAACUCCGGUUCACUUCGGAUCACCACAAGAUUUAUCAAUGAUCCAUGUCUACAACACAACAUACAAUUUAUCAUUUACUUUAAAAAUUCGACAAACUAACUAAAUUGAAGUGUCCGCACUCCAUAGUUUUAAAUUCUGAGGAUGCUACCCAAAACUACAGCUGGAACAAUUUAUAUAUCCUCAAACAUACCACAACUAAAACUUUGAUAUAAAUUAUCGAAUUAGUAAUUAGGUGGGUAAACGGAUUCUCACUUUGUUAUGUCACGGUUAGUAGCCAAUUAUGAACGAAGUGAUGUUAGUAAACAAACUUCGGUCACAAAUUCAAGCCUUGCAUUAACUAAUCCAUAACAACACCGCUUGAAUUUACUAUGGACACCCAUCCACGAUUUCUAUACAACCUCUACGACUUUGGUUACGCCAUUCCCAGAAUUAUUCAACAACCCUUUUCGCUUCCAACAACCACACGAUUCCAAAACACUCAACAAAUCUAAAGGCCAAACUUUAACAUAUACCAUUUCCGGAGACAAACAUAACGACCCCACGAUUAAAAUAAUAUAACUGACAUCUCACUGCACGAUUCUUAGCUUGCUGGAAGUUCAGAACAUUUGGUAACACCCUUCAAUUCCUAUAAUUCGUUUACUGUGACACAUGAAUAAGUAUGUCACAACGCUAUGACCAAUGGUUAUUGCAAGGAAAAUAAUCCUUGAGUCUUAUACUUAAACGCCUUAACCGGCUUCAACUAACCUACAAUAUAGACAAAAGUCACCAUAAACCUUACUAUUCAUCGACUACCAUUAAUUGUCUUCUCCAAAAUAUUCCCACUACUCUUUUAAUAGAACGCUCUAAAGAUAAGAACAUAUAUGUAAUUACAGCUGUAGGAACCAGAACAUGUGCCGCCAUAAGCAACAUUAUCCUAAAAUGUUCCCAACUGAUUUCUGUUGCGGAUAAAGUAGUCGAUAAAUUGGCCUUCAAACAUGACUUCUCCAAAUUGAUAUUUACCCAAUACUAGUCACAAAUCCCACGUGACUUAUUCGCUCAGGAUUAAGGUCCUCAAAAACUCGUAAAGGUACAUCUUGGAAUUACUAUUUCAACUAACUUUUACAUUAACAAAACCCAUAACUACUUCGAACCUUCCAACAAACACUUCUCUCCCAAAAAUCACAUAAUUGAUUCCAACAUCUCCCAUCAGUCUAAUUUGACUCCAAUCUUGCCCACUGAAAAUGAAAAACUCAGAGGCAUGAAUCAAACAUUUCACCUACUACAGAUUCGCACAAGAUGCUCACUAGCAUCUUAAUCAUAGCCUAAUUAAUCACUAGACAAAUGAAAGGAAUGGUUUCAAGCUUUUGAGUUCCCAACUCUAUUGACACCAAGUAUGACUAAGUAUAUGAGUUCCCAACUCUAUUGACACCAACUCUAUUGGACCAUCACUCUAUUGACACCAAGUAUGACUAAGUAUAUGAGGUAGUAAUAAAAACAAGAAAGAAUCGAACCACCUAAUGCUCUGAUACCAACUGUCACGAGCCACCCCGGAAUUCACCCUGAAAUCCGAAGUAAACCCUGCAGGGCCCACCUCCAAAAGAGAUGCUACUGAAAAUUCGGCAAAACCUCCCUUGAAAAUAGACAACCCUUCCUAAAAACACCUGCACACACUUCAUAAAAUCACACUCCAACCUUAUACUCCUGGAGCGUUCGUGCUCCCCAAUUUCUCAACACCUCCCAAGUUAUUUACUAAUCUAAAAAAAAAAAAUAUCUCAUAAUCAACAAUUCAUAGGUUCAGAUAACCUCUAAAUAAGGAAAAAAAGGAAACAGAAAAUACAAAUAAGCGGAAGCCAUAUUAUGGACUAUGCCUCGACUUCAUGUACACCCGACCUCAAAUAAGCUAACCUGCAAGCUGGGCAUUUAAAAUCGAAGGGAACAUGAGAGAAACACUUGAAAAAACGUUAGUGAACAAAAAUAAAUUAAAAAGGAUCAUAUAAACAAAUAAAACUUUAUGCUUCCCCAAAUUUAAAUCCAAUAGAAAAAUCAUGGUGCAUGCAACUAUGUAAAGCUCUUGUCCCAGAGAAAAUGGACAAAUAAAAAAAUACGAGACUAGCCCUGCCAGUCUCCAACACUAUUAGAUAUUGAGUCUCUAAGGCUCUAGUAAUAAGUUAUUAAAUAAUAGAAACUAAAUUAAUAUUUUGGGAAAAUCUGGUUCCUAGGAGAACCAAAUUUAACUCCUACUAACCUUGCACUCCAAAACUAUUAAAUGUCUCUUCAAAAAAACAAUUCUCCAUACCUAGUUUAGUACUCCAAACAAUCUGCCGAAACUACUUCUCAAAGUAUGUACAUUUUGAUUUAUUCAACAACAUCAAAAAUAACCUAGAACCUCCGAGUCUACUUUCCAUUACCAAAAUCUUAUGCAAUUAACUUGAUCAUAAUCCUAAGUUGCACAUCAAUCACUUCAUCACCAGAGAACAAUUGCUAAUCUUACAGAAACUAUCUUAAGAAACAAAGCCUAGGAAAGCCAAAAUCAUGUAAACCAUAGUAUGCAAUUUAUGCUUUAUAUAAAGAACACAUAGCAAAUCAAUCAAAUUAAUAUAUUGUAUACAUACAAAUAAAUCCAUGUAAUUAAUAUGCAUUUCAAAUAAACACAUGUAUUGACAGAAAGGAAACCAUAACAGUCAUAACAAUCAAUAGUUUAAUCGACAUAGAACAUAAGACUUAAGCUCCGGAAAUUUUUAUCUAUCCAAGUAUAGACUUUCUUUCUUCCACAAUUCCCUCCAAUGAAUCACUUGCUCCAAAUAAUCUCAAUCCUCGAAAAUAUCUCAAAAAUUUCUGUACCUAUAGCAUAUAUUGCCAACUACAGAAAUCUUAGAAAUUGUAAAUCUCUCAACUCAGCCAAAUGAUUAAUGUCGAGCUUAACGCACGAAAAUGCAUCUCAUCUUCUCAUACUGCAUCAGAUUCUAGAACCUCAAACUAUCCUCAAUAGGCCCAAGCAUACUCCUCAAACUUCCUAUAAUUGACCAAAAAUAAAGCCUGCUUACCACAAAAUCUGGUAACAUGUUCCUAGGAGAUCUAAUUUAACACCUAAUAACCUUGGCACAUGGCCAGCUAAAAAAGUUUUUCCAAACAUAUUAAAUGUCUCAUCAAAACAACAAUUUUAGUACUCCAAGCGAUCUACCGAAACUACUUCUCAAAGUAUGUACAUUUUGAUCUAAUCAACGACAACAACAAGGACCUAGAACCUCCGAGUCAACUAUCCAUUACCAAACUCUUAUGCAAUUAACUUGAUCAUAAUCCUAAGUUGCACAUCAAUCACUUAAUCACCAGAGAACAAUUGCUAAUCUUACUGAAACUAGCGUAAGAAACAAAGCCUAGGAAACCCAAAAUCAGGUAAACAAUAGUAUGCAAUUUAUGCAUUAUAUAAAGAAAACAUAGCAAAUCAAUCGAAUUAACAUAUUGUGUACACACAAAUAAAUCCAUGUAAUUAUUAUGCAUUUCAAAUAAACACACGUAUUGACAGAAAGGAAAUCAUAAGAGUCAUAACGAUCAAUAGUUCAAUCCACAUAGAACAUAAGACUUAAGCUCCGGAAAUUUUUAUCUAUCCAAAUAUAGACAUUCUUCCUUCCACAAUUCCCUCGUAUUAAUCACAUGCGCAAAAUAAUCUCCAUCCUCGAAAAUAUCUCAAAAACUUAUGUACGUAUAGCUAUAUAUUANNNNNNNNNNNNNNNNNNNNUCAUAGGAGAACCUAAUUUAAAUCCAAAUAACCUUGCACCAAGCCUGCUAUAAAAGUUUUUCCAAACCUAUUAAAUGUCUCUUCAAAACAACAAUUCUCCAUACCUAGAUUAGUACGCCAAGCGAUCUGCCGAUACUACUUCUCAAAGUAUGUGCAUUUUAAUGAUAAUCUUCCAUAAACCAUCUUAAGAAACAAAGCCUAAUAAAGCCUAACUCAUGUAAACAAUAGUAUGUAAUUUAUGCUUUUUAUAAAGAACACAUAGCAAAUCAAUCGAAGUAAUAACCAUCAAUAGUUCAAACGACAUAGAACUUAACACUAAGCUCCUCAAAUUUUGAUCUAUCCAAGCACAGACUUUCUUCCUUCCACAAUUCCCACUUAACAAAAAUAAAGCCUGCUUAACAAAAAAUCUGGUAACAUGUUCCUAGGAGAACCUAAUUUAACUCCUAAUACCCUUGCACCUGGCCUGCUAUAAAAGUUUCACCAAACCAAUAAAUUGUCUCUUCAAAACAACAAUUCUCCGUACAUAGUUUAGUACUCCAAGCGAUCUGCCGAAACUACUUCUCAAAAGUAUGUACAUUUUGAUCUAUUCAACGACAUCAACAAUGACCUAGAACCACCAAGUCUACUUUCAAUUACCAAAAUCUUAUGCAAUUAACUUGAUCAUAAUCCUAAUUUGCACAUCAUUCACUUCAUCACCAGAGAACAAUUGUUAAUCUUACAGAAACUAUCUUAAGAAACAAAGCAUAGGAAAGCCAAACACAUGUAAACAAUAGUAUGUAAUUUAUGCUUUAAACAAAGAUCACAUAGCAAAUCAAUCGAAUUAAUAUAUUGUAUACACAAAUAAAUCCAUGUAAUUAAUAAGCAUUUCAAAUAAACACAUGUAUUGACCGAAAGGAAAUCAUAACAUUCAUAACGACCAAUAGUUAAAUUGACAUAGAACAUAAGACUUAAGCUCCGGAAAUUUUGAUCUAUCCAAGUACAAACUUUCUUCCUUCCACAAUUCCCUCGUAUGAAUCACUGGCUCAAAAUAAUCUCAAUCCUCGAAAAUAUCUCAAAAACUUCUAUACCUAUAGCUAUAUAUAACCUACCAAAGUAAACUUGAAAAUUGUAAAUCUCUCAACUCAGCCAAAUGAUUAAUGUCGAACAUAAUGCACGAAAAUGCAUUUCGAAUUCACAUACAGCAACAGCUUCUAGAACCUCAAUACGCCCAAGCCAACUCUUCAAACUUCCUACUAUUGACCAAAAAUAAAGCUAACUUACCACAAAAUCUGGUAACAUGUUCCUACGAGAACCUAAUUUAACUCCUAAUAACCUUGCACCUGGCCUGCUAUAAAAGUUUCUCCAAACCUAUUAAAUGUCUCUUCAAAACAACAAUUUACCAUACCUACUUUAGUACUCCAAGCGAUCUGUCGAAACUACUUCUCAAAAUAUGUACAUUUUGAUCUAAUCAACGUCAACAACAAUGAUCUAGAACCUCCGAGCCGACUUUCCAUUACCAAAUUCUUAUGCAAUUAACUUGAUCAUAAUCCAAAGUUGCACAACAAUCACUUCAUCACCAGAGACCAGUUGCUAAUCUUACGGAAACCAUGUUAAGAAACAAAGCCUACCUCAUGUAAACAAUAGUAUGUAAUUUAUGCUUUUUAUAAAGAUCACAUAGCAAAUCAAUAGAAUUAAUAUAAUGUAUACACACAAAUAAAUCAAAGUAAUUAAUAUGCAUUUCAAAUAAACACAUGUAUUAACAGAAACGAAAACAUGAGUCAUAACCAUCAAUAGCUCAAACGACAUAGAACAUAAGACUAAGCUCCUCAAAUUUUGAUCUAUCCAAGUGCAGACUUUCUUCCUUCCACAAUUCCCUCUUACGAAUCACUUGCUCAAAAAAAUCUCAAUCCUCGAAAAUAUCUCAGAAACUUUUGCACCUGUAGCUAUAUAUUACACACCAAGGAAAACUUGAAAAUUGUAAAUCUCUCAACCCAGCCAAAUGAUUAAUGUCGAAUAUAAAGCAUGAAAAUGCAUUUCAACUUCACAUACUCCACCAGAAUCUAGAACCUCAAGCUAUCCUAAAUACGCCCAAGCCUACUCUUCCAACUUCCUACUAUUGACCAAAAAUAAAGCCUGCUUACCACAAAAUCUGGUAACAUGUUCCUAAGAGAACCUAAUUUAACUCCUAAUAAAGUUGCACCUGGCCUUCUAUAAAAGUUUCUCCAAACCUAUUAAAUGUCUCUUUAAGACAAUAAUUCUCCAUACCUAGUUUAGUACUCCAAGAGAUCUGCCGAAACUACUUCUCAAAGUAUGUGCAUUUUGAUCUAAUCAACGACAACAACAAUGACCUAGAACCUCCGAGAUUACAUUCCAUUACCAAAAUCUUAUGCAAUUAACUUGAUCAUAGUCCUAAGUUGCACAUCAAUCACUACAUCACUAGACACCAGCUGCAAAUCUUACAGAAACCAUCUUAAGAAACAAAGCCUAGUAAAGCCUAACACAUGUAAACAAUAGUAUGUAAUUUACGCUUUAUAUAAAGAUCACAAAGCAAAUCAAUCGAAUUAUUAUAUUGUAUACACACAAAUAAAUCCAUGUAACGAAUAUGCAUUUCAAAUAAACACAUGUAUUGACAUAAAGGAAACCAUCAGAUUCAUAACGAUCAAUAGUUCAAUCGACAUAGAACAUAUGACUUGAGCUCCGAAAAUCAUAACUUAAUCUACAAAACUCCUUUUUAAGAGAUUCAAAUUCAGGAAUGAUGUUUAACAUCUGUACUAUAACUUUUAUGCAGACAACAACUUCAAAUACACAACUGAAAUGCACCGAUUUUAGUAAAAAGGCUGCUGGGUCAAAAACUCAGAAAACUGAUUUGCAGAAUUUCUUACUGCAGACCCUAAUUGUAUUUUUAAUCCUGAUUUUGUUUCUCCUUUAGUCUCCUCCCUUCUCUCUCCUUUGUUUUCUUACUUCUUUCUAAAAGUUGUUAUAAGUUUGGGCUCGGGGUUUGGGUUCACUAACUAUUGGGUCAAGGUUAAUGUCAUGGGUUAAAAGUAGGGUUAAUCUCAAAAACUUAAGUACCUAUAGCUAUAUAUUACCUACUAACGUAAACAUGAAAAUUGUAAAUCUCUCAACUCAGCCAAAUCAAUAAUGUCGAACAUAAUGCAGGAAAAUGCAUUUUAUCCUAUCAUACUGCACCAGAUUCUAGAACCUAAACUCCUCAAUACGCCCAAGCAUACUCCUCAAACUUACUACUAUUGUUCCCAUGUAUUUACCAAAAUAAAGCCUAUUUACCACAAAAUCGGGUAACAUGUUCCUAGGAGAACCUAAUUUAACUCCUAAUAACCUUCCACUCCAAAACUAUUAAAUCUAUCUUCACAAUAACAAUUUUCCAUACCUAGUUUAGUACUCCAAGCGAUUUGCCGAAACUACCUCUCAAAGUAUAUACAUUUUGAUCUAAUCAACGACAACAACAAUGACCUAGAACCUCCGAGUCUACUUUCCAAGUACAGACUUUCUUCCUUCCACAAUUCCCUCCAAUGAAUCACUUGCCCAAAAUAAUCUCAAUCCUCGAAAAUAUCUCAAAAACCUCUGUACCUAUAGUUAUAUAUUACCUACCAAAGAAAACUUGAAAAUUGUAAUCCCAACCCAGUGAAAUGAUUAAUGUCGAACAUAAUGCACAAAAAUGCAUUUCAUCUUCUCAUACAGCCCCAGAUUCAAAAACGUCAAACUAUCCCCAAUAUGCCCAAGCCUACUCCUCAAACUUCCUACUACUGUUCCCAAGUAUUUACCAAAAAUAAAGCCUGCUUAACAAAAAAUCUGUUAACAUGUUCCUAGGAGAACCUAAUUUAACUCCCAAUACCUUUGCACCAGGCCUGUUAUAAAAGUUUCACCAAACCAAUUAAUUGUCUCUUCAAAACAACAAUUCUCCAUACAUAGUUUAGUACUCCAAGCGAUCUGCCGAAGCUACUUCUCAAAGUAUGUACAUUUUGAUCUAUUCAACGACAUCAACAAUGACCUAGAACCACCGAGUCUACUUUCCAUUACCAAAAUCUUAUGCAAUUAACUUGAUCAUACUCCUAAUUUGCACAUCAAUCACUUCAUCACCAGAGAACAAUGGUUAAUCUUACAGAAACUAUCUUAAGAAACAAAGCAUAGGAAAGCCAAACUCAUGUAAACAAUAGUAUGUAAUUUAUGCUUUAUACAAAGAUCACAUAGCAAAUCAAUCGAAUUAAUAGAUUGUAUACAUACAAAUAAAUCCAAGUAAUUAAUAUUCAUUUCAAAUAAACACAUGUAAUGACAGACAGGAAAUCAUGAGUCAUAACCAUCAAUAGUUCAAACGACAUAGAACAUAAGACUAAGCUCCUCAAAUUUUGAUCUAUCCAAGUACAGACUUUCUUCCUUCCACAAUUCCAUCUUAUGCUUUAAUAAAGAACACAUAGCAAAUCAAUCGAAUUAAUAUAUUCUAGACACAAAUAAAUCCAUGUAAUUAUUAUGCAUUUCAAAUAAACACAUGUAUUGACAGAAAGGAAAUCAUAAGAGUCAUAACGAUCAAUAGUUCAAUCGACACAGAACAUAAGACUUAAGCUCCGGAAAUUGUUAUCUAUCCAAAUAGAGACAUUCUUCCUUCCACAAUUCCCUCGUAUUAAUCACAAGCGCAAAAUAAUCUCCACCCUCGAAAUAUCUCAAAAACUUAUGUACCUAUAACUAUAGAUUACCAACCAAAGUAAACUUGACAAUUGUAAAUCACAAGACUCAGCCAAAUGAUUAAUGUCAAACAUAUCGCACGAAAAUGCAUUUCAUCUUCUCAUACUGCACCAGAUUCUAGAACCUCAAACCAUCCUCAAUACACACAAGUCUACUCCUCAAACAUCCUACUAAUGACCAAAAAUAAAGCCUGCUUCCAAAAAAAUCUGGUAACAUGUUCAUAGGAGAACCUAAUUUAACUCCUAAUAACCUUGCACCUCGCCUGCUAUAAAAGUUUUUCCAAACCUAUUAAAUGUCACUUUAAAAAAACAAUUCUCCAUACCGAGAUUAGUACUCCAAGCGAUCUGCCGAUACUACUUCUCAAAGUAUGUACAUUUUAAUGAUAAUCUUACAGAAACCAUCUUAAGAAACAAAGCCUAAUAAAGCCUAACUCAUGUAAACAAUAGUAUGUAAUUUAUGCUUUUUAUAAAGAACACAACAAAUCAAUCGAAUUAAUAUAUUGUAUACACACAAAUAAAUCCAUCUAAUUAAAAUGCUUUUCAAAUAAACACAAGUAUUGACAAAAAAGAAAUCAAAAGAUUCAUAACGAUCAAUAGUUCAAUCGAAAUAGAACAUAAGACUAAGCUCCUCAAAUUUUGAUGUAUCCAAGUACACUUUCUUCCUUCCGAUAUUCCCUCUUAUGAAUCACUUGUUCAAAAUAAUCUCAAUCCUCGAAAAUAUCUUAAAACCUUUUGUACCUGUAGCUAUAUAUUACACACCAAGGAAAACUUGAAAAUUGUAAAUCUCUCAACCCAGCCAAAUGAUUAAAGUCGAACAUAAUGCACGAAAAUGCAUUUCAUCUUCACAUACUGCACCAGAUUCUAGAACCUCAAGCUAUCCUAAAUACGCCCAAGCGUACUCUUCAAACUUCCUACUAUUGACCAAAAAUAAAGCCUGCUUACCACUAAAUCUGGUAACAUGUUCCUAGGAGAACCUAAUUUAACUCCUAAUAACGUUGCACCUGGCAUGCUAUACUAUUAAAUGUCUCUUUAAAACAAUAAUUCUCCAUACCAAGUUUAGUACUCCGAGCGAUCUGCCGAAACUACUUCUCAAAAUAUGUACAUUUUGAUCUAAUCAACGACAACAACAAUGACCUAGAACCUCCGAGUCUACUUUCCAAGUACAGACUUUCUUCCUUCCACAAUUCCCUCCAAUGAAUCACUUGCCCAAAAUAAUCUCAAUCCUCGAAAAUAUCUCAAAAACCUCUGUACCUAGAGUUUUAUAUUACCUACCAAAGAAAACCUGAAAAUUGUAAUCCCAACCCAGUGAAAUGAUUAAUGUCAAACAUAAUGCACAAAAAUGCAUUUCAUCUUCUUAUUCUGCACCAGAUUCUAAAACGUCAAACUAUCCUCAAUAUGCCCAAGCCUACUCCUCAAACUUCCGACUAUUGUUCCCAAGUAUUUACCAAAAAUAAAGCCUGCUGAAUAAGAAUUGCAAAUCUUACAGAACCUAGCGUAAGAAACAAAGCCUAGGAAACCCAAAAUCAGGUAAACAAUAGUAUGCAAUUUAUGCUUUAAUAAAGAACACAGCAAAUCAAUCGACUUAAUAUAUUCUAGACACAAAUAAAUCCAUGUAAUUAUUAUGCAUUUCAAAUAAACACAUGUAUUGACAGAAAGGAAAUCAUAAGAGUCAUAUCAAUCAAUAGUUCAAUCGACAUAGAACAUAAGACUCAAGCUCCGGAAAUUGUUAUCUAUCCAAAUAGAGACAUUCUUCCUUCCACAAUUCCCUCGUAUUAAUCACAUGCGCAAAAUAAUCUCCAUCCUCGAAAUAUCUCAAAAACUUAUGUACCUAUAGCUAUAGAUUACCAACCAAAGUAAACUUGAUAAUUGUAAAUCUCUCAACAUAUCGCACGAAAAUGCAUUUCAUCUUCUCAUACUGCACCAGAUUCUAGAACCUCAAACCAUCCUCAAUACACACAAGCCUACUCCUCAAACUUCCUACUAAUGACCAAAAAUAAAGCCUGCUUACCAAAAAAAUCUGGUAACAUGUUCAUAGGAGAACCUAAUUUAACUCCUAAUAACCUUGCACCUCGCCUGCUAUAAAAGUUUUUCCAAACCUAUUAAAUGUCACUUUAAAACAACAAUUCUCCAUACCGAGAUUAGUACUCCAAGCGAUCUGCCGAUACUACUUCUCAAAGUAUGUACAUUUUAAUGAUAAUCUUACAGAAACCAUCUUAAGAAACAAAGCCUAAUAAAGCCUAACUCAUGUAAACAAUAGUAUGGUAAUUUAUGCUUUUUAUAAAGAACACAACAAAUCAAUCGAAUUAAUAUAUUGUAUACACACAAAUAAAUCCAUCUAAUUAAAAUGCUUUUCAAAUAAACACAAGUAUUGACAAAAAAGAAUCAAAAGAUUCAUAACGAUUCAAUAGUUCAAUCGAAAUAGAACAUAAGACUAAGCUCCUCAAAUUUUGAUGUAUCCAAGUACACUUUCUUCCUUCCGUAUUAUUCCCUCUUAUGAAUCACUUGUUCAAAAUAAUCUCAAUCCUCGAAAAAUAUCUUAAAACCUUUUGUACCUGUAGCUAUAUAUUACACACCAAGGAAAACUUGAAAAUUGUAAAUCUCUCAACCCAGCCAAAUGAUUAAAGUCGAACAUAAUGCACGAAAAUGCAUUUCAUCUUCACAUACUGCACCAGAUUCUAGAACCUCAAGCUAUCCUAAAUACGCCCAAGCCUACUCUUCAAACUUCCUACUAUUGACCAAAAAUAAAGCCUGCUUACCACUAAAUCUGGUAACAUGUUCCUAGGAGAACCUAAUUUAACUCCUAAUAACGUUGCACCUGGCCUGCUAUACUAUUAAAUGUCUCUUUAAAACAAUAAUUCUCCAUACCAAGUUUAGUACUCCAAGCGAUCUACCGAUACUACUUCUCAAGAAACAAAGCCUAACAAAGCCUAACUCAUGUAAACAAUAGUAUGUAAUUUAUGCUUUUUAUAAAGAACACAACAAAUCAAUCGAAGUAAUAUAUUGUAUACACACAAAUAAAUCCAUCUAAUUAAAAUGCUUUUCAAAUAAACACAUGUAUUGACAUAAAGGAAAUCAAAAGAUUCAUAACGAUCAAUAGUUCAAUCGACAUAGAACAUAAGACUUGAGCUCCAGAAAUUUUUAUCUAUCCAAGUACAGACAUUCUUGCUUCCACAAUUCCCUCAUAUGAAUCACAUGCUCAAAAUAAUCUCCAUCCUCGAAAAUAUCUCAAAAACUUCUGUACCCAUAGUUAUAUAUUACCUACCAAAGUAAACUUGACAAUUGUAAAUCUCUCAACUCAGCCAAAUAAUUAAUGUCGAACAUAUCGCACGAAAAUGCAUUUCAUCAUCACAUACUACACCAGAUUCUAGAACCUCAAACUAUGCUCAAUACGCCCAAGUCUACUCCUCAAACUUCCUACUAUUGACCAAAAAUAAAGCCUGCUUACCACAAAAUCUGGUAACAUGUUCCUAGGAGAUCUAAUUUAACUCCAAAUAACCUUGCACCUGGCCUGCUAUAAAAGUUUAUCCCCUCUUCAAAACAACAAUUCUCCAUACCUAGUUUAGUACUCCAAGCGAUCUGCCGAAACUACUUCUCAAAACAUGUACAUUUUGAUCUAAUCAACGUCAACAACAAUGACCUAGAACCUCCGAGCCGACUUUCCAUUACCAAACUCUUAUGCAAUUAACUUGAUCAUAAUCCAAAGUUGCACAUCAAUCACUUCAUCACCAGAGAGUUGCUAAUCUUACGGAAACCAUCUUAAGAAACAAAGCCUAACUCAUGUAAACAAUAGUUUGUAAUUUAUGCUUUUUAUAAAGAUCACAUAGCAAAUCAAUCGAUUUAAUAUAAUGUAUACACACAAAUAAAUCCAAGUAAUUAAUAUGCAUUUCAAAUAAACACAUGUAUUGACAGAAAGGAAAUCAUGAGUCAUAACCAUCAAUAGUUCAAACGACAUAGAACAUAAGACUAAGCUCCUCAAAUUUUGAUCUAUCCAAGUACAGACUUUCUUCCUUCCACAAUUCCCUCUUAUGAAUCACUUGCUCAAAAUAAUCUCAAUCCUCGGAAAUAUCUCAAAAACUUUUGUACAUGUAGCUAUAUAUUACGCACCAAGAACCUCCGAGAUUACUUUCCAUUACCAAAAUCUUAUGCAAUUAACUUGAUCAUAGUCCUAAGUUGCACAUCAAUCACUACAUCACCAGACACCAGCUGCUAAUCUUACAGAAACCAUCUUAAGAAACAAAGCCUAGUAAAGCCUAACUCAUGUAAACAAUAGUAUGUAAUUUAUGCUUUAUAUAAAGAUCACACAACAAAUCAAUUGAAUUAAUAUAUUGUAUACACAAAAUUAAAUCCAUGUAAUUAAUAUGCAUUUCAAAUAAACACAUGUAUUGACAAAAAGGAAAUCAUCAGAUUCAUAAUGAUCAAUAGUUCAAUCGACAUAGAACAUAAGACUUGAGAUCCGAAAAUCAUAACUUAAUCUGCAAAACUCCUUUUUAAGAGAUUCAAAUUCAGGAAUGAUGUUUAACAUCUGUACUAUAACUUUUAUGCAGACAACAACUUCAAAUACACAACUGAAAUGCACCGAUUUUAGUAAAAAGGCUGCUGGGUCAAAAACUCAGAAAACUGAUUUGCAGAAUUUCUUACUGCAGACCCUAAUUCUAUUUUUAAUCCUGAUUUUGUUUCUCCUUUAGUCCCCACCCUUCUCUCUCCUUUGUUUUCUUACUUCUUUCUAAAAGUUGUUAUAAGUUUGGGCUCGGGGUUUCGGUUUACUAACUAUUGGGCCAAGGUUAAUGUCAUGGGUUAAAAGUAGGGUUAAUCUCAAAAACUUAUGUACCUAUAGCUAUAUAUUACCUACUAAUGUAAACUUGAAAAUUGUAAAUCUCUCAACUCAGCCAAAUCAAUAAUGUCGAACAUAAUGCACGAAAAUGCAUUUUAUCCUAUCAUACUGCACUAGAUUCUAGAACCUAAACUCCUCAAUACGCCCAAGCAUACUCCUCAAACUUACUACUAUUGUUCCCACGUAUUUACCAAAAUAAAGCCUAUUUACCACAAAAUCGGGUAACAUGUUCCUAGGAGAACCUAAUUUAACUCCUAAUAACCUUCCAGUCCAAAACUAUUAAAUGUCUCUUCAUAACAACAAUUUUCUAUACCUAGUUUAGUACUCCAAACGAUUUGCCGAAACUACUUCUCAAAGUAUGUACAUUUUGAUCUAAUCAAGCACAACAACAAUGACCUAGAACCUCCGAGUCUACUUUCCAUGUAUAGACUUUCUUCCUUCCACAAUUCCCUCCAAUGAAUCACUUGAUCAAAAUAAUUUCAAUCCUCGAAAAUAUCUCAAAAACCUCUGUACCUAUAGUUAUAUAUUACCUACCAAAGAAAACUUGAAAAUUAUAAUCCCAACCCAGUGAAAUGAUUAAUGUCGAACAUAAUGCACAAAAAUGCAUUUCAUCUUCUCAUACCGCCCCAGAUUCAAAAACGUCAAACUAUCCUUAAUAUGCCCAAGCCUACUCCUCAAACUUCCUACUAUUGUUCCCAAGUAUUUACCAAAAAUAAAGCCUGCUUAACAAAAAAUCUGGUAACAUGUCCCUAGGAGAACCUAAUUUAACUCCAAAUACCCUUACACCUGGCCUGCUAUAAAAGUUUCACCAAACCAAUAAAUUGUCUCUUCAAAACUACAAUUCUCCAUACAUAGUUUAGUACUCCAAACGAUCUGCCGAAACUACUUCUCAAAGUAUGUACAUUUUGAUCUAUUCAACGACAUCAACAAUAACCUAGAACCACCGAGUCUACUUUCCAAUACCAAAAUCUUAUGCAAUUAACUAGAUCAUAAUCCUAAUUUGCACAUCAAUCACUUCAUCACCAGAGAACAAUUGUUAAUCUUACAGAAACUAUCUUAAGAAACAAAGCAUAGGAAAGCCAAGCUCAUGUAAACAAUAGUAUGUAAUUUAAGUAUCACAUUACACACGCUAAAAUCCCAAGGUUCAAGUAGUAUGAAGGUCUUCUUAAACUCAUCCUAAACUCUAAUCAGUAUUACGAAACAGUAGAUUUCUCUGGCACAAAGAACAAAUUUUACAUAAUCAACUCUAUCCAAACACCAAAUAUCACAUAACACACGUUAAAAUCCCAAGGUUCAGGUAGUAUGAAGGUCUUCUUAAAUUCAUCCUAAACUCUAAUCAGUAUUACGAAACAGUAAAUUUCUGGCACAAAGAACAAAUUUUACAUAAUCAACUCUAUCCAAACACCAAAUAUCACAUAACACACAUAAUCCUCAACAAACUACAUAACCGGAAUUUCAACAAAUCCUUCAACUUUCGAAACCCUAGAAAAUCAGAAUCACUUAUCUUUGGUGGAGACAGCAUCACCUGCGAGCAGACGUAGUCUUUGAGUCGGACGUUGGGUUCUCGAGAGCGUUGAGAACGACGAAGCGGCUCUCAGCGGGAACAAGGGAAAGAGAAUCAGGAAGGACGACAUCAACUGGGAAUUUGGGGCGUCGGGCAUAAUUUUCGAAAUUGGAGGGUGGAGGCGGAUUGGGUGAUGGAGAUGACGGCGGCGGAUCGGUUGAUGGAGAUGGCGGCGACGGAUUGGGUGGUGGAGAGGGCGGUGGAGAAUUUGGUGGGGAAGAUGUCGAUGGCAGGUUUACUGAAAUCGGGAAAGAAGAAGAAAUUGGGAGAGAAGAAGAGGAAAGGGUCAGAAUCUAAAGGAAGUGGAAUGGGCUGGGCUGUCGGAUGUUUUUCUGUCUGGGCUGGUGGGGUUCAGUAAGUGUCCUCAAUAAAAAUUACAUCUGUGUUAGUGAAAAUUUUUUGAGAUUUCAAUAUUGUAAAAUUUGUAAGCCUUCUGUCCCAUUAGAUAACCCAAAAAAAUGCAUUUGGUGGCACGAGGAGAAAAUUUGGAAGAUGGAUUAGGAACGGUUGCAACCAAAAACUCGCAUAUGCGAAUAAUCGGGAAGCUUAUUGUAAGGUAUUUCAAAUGGUGUUUUCUUGUUGAGUUACAAAGUAGGUAAACGGUUGAUGUUGUAAACAGAGGUUAAAACACAUUCUCCCCAAAAGAAAUAGGAAGACACAAGUAGUUUCAAAAAUAUGUCGAUGUUUUAUUUCGACAACACCAUUUUGAUGAGGUGUGUAUACACAAAAAUGUUGGAAACUACCCCUUGCUCAGGAAAAAAACUUUUUACAGAAAGGAAUCAGCUCCAUUGUCAGAGCAAAACUGUUGGACUUUGGUAUUGAAUUGAGUUGCGACAAAGUUAAAAAAUUGACGAAUUAAAGUUUGCGCUUCAUUCUUAUGUUGUAUUAAAAAUACUCAAGUGAAUCGAGAAAAGUCAUCAACAAUAGUCAAAAAAUAAUGAGCACCAAAAUGAGUAGGAGUUUUAUAAUGACCUCAAAUAUCAUAAUGAAUUAGAGAAAACACUUGGUUGUUGAAAUUGAACAGAAAAAAAAGUCAAGUAUGUUUCCCCAACAGACAAACAUCACACUUAUUACUAGAAUCAAAAACAAAAUGAAGAUUAUUUUUUGCUAAAUGUUGUAAACUUCGGUGCCAAAGGUUGGAGGAGAUGGUCAAAUUGCAAGAAAAACGAUGAGAUGGAGGAAUGAAAGCGUACGCCACAAGGUAGUAUAGGUCAAACGUAGACAAAUCCAAGUGAACAUUAGCUACCAAACGUAGCUGCAGCUUCAAGCCUUCAACCAUGACAAUUGAACGGUAAACAUAGACAAAUCACAGGUAAUAUGCCGUAGCGUAUAUGAUUGCAACCUAAUGUACGUAGCAAUAGUCAGUUAAGAAUUCAAGCCCGUAAUUAUGACAUUUUCAACAAGGUAUGUUAUGUAGUCCUCCUAAUUAGGACCCCAACUUGCACCUAACAAGAACCUUCUGGAGGACCCAAUCCCCCAUUUCUAUUACACAUGAUCCUAUGCAAUUCAAUUCUGAUAAUUUGUAUUUCUUUCAAUUUAGAAAUAUGAUGCAUAGACAAGUUCCAAAAGGAGUACUAAAACAAGUACCUACUUUUCUAUCUUUGUAGCUAGCGUGGAACUUCAUUCUCCCACAUAUUUCCAAACCAGAAAUCCAGCUUCAAUAAUUCCCUGUUUACCAAAUUAUUAUGUCUAUGCCAUAUAUGCUACGAGUGCUCGAUCGUUCCAUAGAUGGAGAGAAUUAGGAAGGGUAGCGGCGGCGGCAACGGAUCUGCAGCGUUAGUAAAGGCGGCUGCAUGGGCAUGGUAUGAGCAUGGAACUGGAUUACAAGGCAAGUCACUGCAGGAGUUUGAUAUCAGAAGAAGUUCUCAUGAUCUUAAACCAUCCAGGUUCAAGCUGGAAGCUAAGAAAUUAGCUGAACAAGGCAGUAGAGAUUUUGAUGAUCGUUCACUUCUUGAUCGAUAUGAAAUUGAGAGUAUUUCUAGGCGGUUGGAUCAACUUAUAGAAUCCAGUGGUGACAAAGGCAAAGUUUAUAAUAAAGGGUUCCUAGUUCAAGACGAUUCUGAUCAUCCUGGAUCAUGCAGCAGUAAGAAGUCAAUAGCUCCAACAUCUGCAGUUGGGGAUCUUGGUCGAAAAGAAAGUGUGGCGUUAUCAGAUGGUGACUACACAAAUCACCGGAGGAAGAAAACGAGCAACAACUUCAGAGGGUUUUUGCAAAGGCAUGCAGUUAUAUGCGGUUCAAGUACACAUAAAGAUGUAAUUAUAGGGACAAGAACUUUCGUGCAUAAUCGGGAGCGGCCACAGUACCUGGAAAAGAGGAAGGUGUACCCGCCGGUACCGGUGGUAAAGUUGGCCGACUGUCGGCCAAAGGCCACUGGCCGUCACACACACGCAUUGUGAUCAAUUGAAACGUUAAGCUCUUGCUUUGGUCGUCAGCUGUUAAACAGUUGUCUACUCUGCACAUAUAUACAUACAACGUUGAAUUAUAUCUAUCUAGUUGUUGUAUCACCAGUUCACCACACGUAGUUUUUCAUGUUAGACACUUUCCUCACAUAUGUGGAGACAUUUCUGCAGAUAGUUGUUACAAACCCAAUCAAUGUUUCCUCACAUAUGUGCCAGUGUUCUGCUGCACAUGGUAUUGAAAACUUCAGUAUCUACAUUUGGAUUGAAAUAGCUGCCUUCAUAAUCAAGUGAUAAUUUACAAUUCAAUGCAAGUAAUGAAGACUGAUAACUUGGUCGUAAAACAGAAUAGCAUUAAAAUUACAAUAAAAUUCGGCACUGGAAAUGACAGCCCUCAGUAGAGGGGAUGAACUUGUUAAGGUAGGUUUUCAUUCAAAGUUGCAGACAUGAACUACGAGCCUACAGAAGGGAAAAUACUCUCCAGGAAAUAACAAAUCAAAUAAUAUAAAACAAACUACAUGAAUUAAGGUGUUAGCUAAGAGCGUAAGAGAUUUUACGAUCCAGAUAAAAGGAUCCAGUAACCACAUUUCAAAAGAAGUCUGACUGUCUCAGAGGUAUACAUGCAUAUCUGGUAUAACCAGUAAUAGCAUAGAUGUUUUGCAAUUUUUAACUCAAUAUCAGUAAUAUAUACAAUGCAAAUUGGAUAAACCAACAGCGAUGCAGUGGUGCUAAACAUGAUUUAAAUACAGACAUGGAAGCCAGAUGAAGAUGACAGAGAUCUAUGGCAAUCCAACAACGAACUCCUUCAUAGAUGCGCUGAUUUGGUGGGGGGGAGAGAGAGAGAGAGAGAGAGAGAGAGAGAGAGAGAGAGAGAGAGGAGGUAGUANNNNNNNNNNNNNNNNNNNNNNNNNNNNNNNNNNNNNNNNNNNNNNNNNNNNNNNNNNNNNNNNNNNNNNNNNNNNNNNNNNNNNNNNNNNNNNNNNNNNNNNNNNNNNNNNNNNNNNNNNNNNNNNNNNNNNNNNNNNNNNNNNNNNNNNNNNNNNNNNNNNNNNNNNNNNNNNNNNNNNNNNNNNNNNNNNNNNNNNNNNNNNNNNNNNNNNNNGAGAGAGAGAGAGAAGGGUAAGGUUCACAGAGAAGAGAGAGGAAAAUAAAUGAGAAAAAGGGUAGCUUUGACAAAUCAGGUUAUGUACUAUCUUAGAACUCAAAACUCAUCAACUCAUGAAAGACACUCGCAUGAAUACUACAUACCAAAUAAACAAUUCAGAAGAAACUCAACCAAAAAAGGAAGAAUCAGAAAAGUUUUUCCAAACCUAUUAAAUGUCUCAUCAAAACAACAAUUUUAGUACUCCAAGCGAUCUUCCGAAACUACUUCUCAAAGUAUGUACAUUUUGAUCUAAUCAACGACAACAACAAGGACCUAGAACCUCCGAGUCAACUAUCCAUUACCAAACUCUUAUGCAAUUAACUUGAUCAUAAUCCUAAGUUGCACAUCAAUCACUUCAUCACAACAAUUGCUAAUUUUACUGAAACUAGCGUAAGAAACAAAGCCUAGGAAACCCAAAAUCAGGUAAACAAUAGUAUGCAAUUUAUGCAUUAUAUAAAGAAAACAUAGCAAAUCAAUCGAAUUAACAUAUUGUGUACACACAAAUAAAUCCAUGUAAUUAUUAUGCAUUUCAAAUAAACACACGUAUUGACAGAAAGGAAAUCAUAAGAGUCAUAACGAUCAAUAGUUCAAUCCACAUAGAACAUAAGACUUAAACUCCGGAAAUUUUUAUCUAUCCAAAUAUAGACAUUCUUCCUUCCACAAUUCCCUCAUAUUAAUCACAUGCGCAAAAUAAUCUCCAUCCUCGAAAAUAUCUCAAAAACUUAUGUACGUAUAGCUAUAUAUUAACUACCAAAGUAAACUUGACAAUUGUAAAUCUCUCAACUCAGCCAAAUGAGUAAAGUCGAACGUAUCGCACGAAAAUGCAUUUCAUCUUCUCAUACCGCACCAGAUUCUAGAACCUCAAACUAUCCUCAAUACACACAAGCCUACUCCUCAAACUUCCUACUAAUGACCAAAAAUAAAGCAUGCUUACCAAAAAAAUCAGGUAACAUGUUCAUAGGAGAACCGAAUUUAACUCCAAAUAACCUUGCACCAAGCCUGCUAUAAAAGUUUUUCCAAACCUAUUAAAUGUCUCUUCAAAACAACAAUUCUCCAUACCUAGAUUAGUACGCCAAGCGAUCUGCCGAUACUACUUCUCAAAGUAUGUGCAUUUUAAUGAUAAUCUUCCAUAAACCAUCUUAAGAAACAAAGCCUAAUAAAGCCUAACUCAUGUAAACAAUAGUAUGUAAUUUAUGCUUUUUAUAAAGAACACAGCAAAUCAAUCGAAGUAAUAUAUUGUAUACACACAAAUAAAUCCAUCUAAUUAAAAUGCUUUAUAAAUAAACACAUGUAUUGAAAUAAAGGAAAUCAUAAGAUUCAUAACGAUCAAUAGUUCAAUCGACAUAGAAAAUAAGCCUUGAGCUCCGGAUAUUUUUAUCUACCCAAGUACAGACUUUCUUCCUUCCACAAUUCCCUCAGAUGAAUCACAUGCUCAGAAUAAUCUCCAUCCUCGAAAAUAUCUCAAAAACUUCUGUACCUAUAGUUAUAUAUUACCUACCAAAGUAAACUUGACAAUUGUAAAUCUCUCAAAUCAGCCAAAUAAUUAAUGUCGAACAUAUCGCACGAAAAUGCAUUUCAUCUUCGCAUACUGCACCAGAUUCUAGAACCUCAAACUAUCCUCAAUACGCCCAAGCCUACUCCUCAAACUUCAUACAAUUAACCAAAAUUAAAACCUGCUUACAACAAAAUCUGGUAACAUGUUCCUAGGAGAUCUAAUUUAACUCAUAAUAACCUUGCACCGGGCCUGCUAUAAAAGUUUAUCCCCUCUUCAAAACAACAAUUCUCCAUACCUAAUUUAGUACUCCAAGCGAUCUGCCGAAACCACUUGUCAAAGUAUGUACAUUUUGAUCUAUUCGACAACAACAACAAUGACCAAGAACUUCCGAGCCUACUUUCCAUGACCUACUUGAUCAUAGACCUAAGUUGCACAACAAUCACUUCAUCACCAGAGACCAAUUAAUAAUCUUACAGAAACCAUAUUAAGAAACAAAACCUAGUAAAGCCUAACUCAUGUAAACAAUAGUAUAUGAUUUAUGUUUUUUAUAAAGAUCACGUAGCAAAUCAAUCGAAUUAAUAAAUUGUAGACACAAAUAAAUCCAUGUAAUUAAUAUCAUUUCAAAUAAACACAUAUAUUGACAUAAAGGAAAUCAUAACAUUCAUAACGAUGAAUAAUUCAAUCGAAAUAGAACAUAAGACUAAGCUCCUCAAAUUUUGAUGUAUCCAAGUACAGACUUUCUUCCUUCCACAAUUCCCUCUUAUGAAUCACUUGCUCAAAAUAAUCUCAAUCCUCGAAAAUAUCUCAAAAACUUGUGUACCUGUAGCUAUAUAUUACACACCAAGGAAAACUUGAAAAUUGUAAAUCUCGCAACCCAGCAAAAUGAUUAAUGUCGAACAUAAUACACGAAAAUGCAUUUCAACAUCACAUACUGCACCAGAUUCUAGAACCUCAAACCAUCCUCAAUACGCCCAAGCCUACUCUUCAAACUUCCUACUAUUGACCAAAAAUAAAGCCUGCUUACCACAAAAUCCGGUAACAUGAUCCUAGGAGAACCUAAUUUAACUCCUAAUAACGUUGCACCUGGCCUGCUAUAAAAGUUUCUCCAAACCUAUUAAAUGUCUCUUUAAAACAAUAAUUCUCCAAACCAUGUUUAGUACUCCGAGCGAUCUGCCGAAACUACUUCUCAAAGUAUGUACAAUUUGAUCUAAUCAACCACAACAACAAUGACCUAGAACCUCCGAGUCUACUUUCCAAGUACAGACUUUCUUCCUUCCACAAUUCCCUCCAAUGAAUUACUUGCUCAAAAUAAUCUCAAUCAUCGAAAAUAUCUAAAAAACCCCUGUACCUAUAGUUAUACAUUACUUACCAAAGAAAACUUGAAAAUUGUAAUCCCAACCCAGUGAAAUGAUUAAUGUCGAACAUAAUGCAGGAAAAUGCAUUUUAUCCUAUCAUACUGCACCAGAUUCUAGAACCCAAACUCCUCAAUACGCCCAAGCCUACUCCUCAGACUUACUACUAUUGUUCCCAAGUAUUUACCAAAAUAAAGCCUAUUUACCACAAAAUCGGGUAACAUAUUCCUAGGAGAACCUAAUUUAACUCCUAAUAACCUUCCACUCCAAAACUAUUAAAUCGCUCUUCAUAAUAACAAUUUUCCAUACCUAGUUUAGUACUCCAAGCGAUUUGCCGAAACUACCUCACAGAGUAUGUACAUUUUGAUCUAAUCAACGACAACAACAAUGACCCAGAACCUCCGAGUCUACUUUCCAUGUACAGACUUUCUUCCUUCCACAAUUCCCUCCAAUGAAUCACUUGAUCAAAAUAAUCUGAAUCCUCCAAAAUAUCUCAAAAACCUCUGUACCUAUAGUUCUAUGUUACCUACCAAAGAAAACUUGAAAAUUGUAAUCCCAACUCAGUGAAAUGAUUAAUGUCGAACAUAAUGCACAAAAAUGCAUUUCAUCUUCUCAUACUGCCCCAGAUUCAAAAACGUCAAACUAUCCACAAUAUGGCCAAGCCUACUCCUCAAACUUCCUACUAUUGUUCCCAAGUAUUUACCAAAAAUAAAGCCUGCUUAAAAAAAAAUCUGGUAACAUGUUCCUAGGAGAACCUAAUUUAACUCCUAAUACCUUUGCACCUGGCAUGUUAUAAAAGUUUCACCAAACCAAUUAAUUGUCUCUUCAAAACAACAAUUCUCCAUACAUAGUUUAGUACUCCAAGCGAUCUGCCGAAACUAGUUCUCAAAGUAUGUACAUUUUGAUCUAUUCAACAACAUCAACAAUGACCUAGAACCACCGAGUCUACUUUCCAUUACCAAAAUCUUAUGCAAUUAACUUGAUCAUAAUACUAAUUUGCACAUCAAUCAAUUCAUCACCAGAGAACAAUUGUUAAUCUUACAGAAACUAUCUUAAGAAACAAAGCAUAGGAAAGCCAAACUCAUGUAAACAAUAGUAUGUAAUUUAUGCUUUAUACAAAGAUCACAUAGCAAAUCAAUCCAAUUAAUAUAUUGUAUACACACAAAUAAAUCCAAGUAAUUAAUAUUCAUUUCAAAUAAACACAUGUAUUGACAGAAAAGAAAUCAUGAGUCAUAACCAUCAAUAGUUCAAACGACAUAGAACAUAUGACUAAGCACCUCAAAUUUUGAUCUAUCCAAGUACAGACUUUCUUCCUUCCACAAUUCCCUCUUAUGAAUCACUUUCUCAAAAUAAUCUCAAUCCUCGAAAAUAUCUCAAAUACUUUUGUCCCUGUAGCUAUAUAUAUUACACACCAAGGAAAACUUGAAAAUUGUAAAUCUCUCAACCCAGCCAAAUGAUUAAUGUCGAACAUAAUGCACGAAAAUGCAUUUCAACUUCAAAUACUGCACCAGAUUCUAGAACCUCAAGCUAUCCUAAAUACGCCCAAGCCUACUCUUCAAACUUCCUACUAUUGACCAAAAAUAAAGCCUGCUUACCACAAAAUCUGGUAACAUGUUCCUAGGAGAACCUAAUUUAACUCCUAAUAACGUUGCGCCUGGCCUGCUAUAAAAGUUUCUCCAACCCUAUUAAAUGUCACUUUAAAACAACAAUUCUUCAUACCAAGUUUCGUACUCCAAGCGAUCUGCCGAAACUACUUCUCAAAGUAUGUACAUUUUGAUCUAAUCAACGACAACAACAAUGACCAAGAACCUCCGAGUCUACUUUCCAAGUACAGACUUUCAUCCUUCCACAAUUCCCUCCAAUGAAUCACAUGCUCAGAAUAAUCUCCAUCCUCGAAAAUAUCUCAAAAACUUCUGUACCCAUAGUUAUAAAUUACCUACCAAAGUAAACUUGACAAUUGUAAAUCUCUCAACUCAGCCAAAUAACUAAUGGUGAACAUAUCGCACGAAAAUGCAUUUCAUCAUCACAUACUACACCAGAUUCUAGAACCUUAAACUAUGCUCAAUACGCCCAAGCCUACUCCUCAAACUUCCUACUAUUGAAGUAUUUCCAAAAAUAAAGCCUGCUUAACACAAAAUCUGGUAACAUGUUCCUAGGAGAUCUAAUUUAACUCCUAAUAACCUUGCACCUGGCCUGCUAUAAAAGUUUACCGAACCAAUAAAUUGUCUCUUCAAAACAACAAUUCACCGUACAUAGUUUAGUACUCCAAGCGAUCUGCCGAAACUACUUCUCAAAAGUAUGUACAUUUUGAUCUAUUCAACGACAUCAACAGUGACCUAGAACCACCGAGUCUACUUUCCAUUACCAAAAUCUUAUGCAAUUAACUUGAUCAUAAUCCUAAUUUGCAGAUCAAUCACUUCAUCACCAGAGAACAGUUGCUAAUCUUACAGAAACCAUCUUAAGCAAACUAAAAGCCUAACGCAUGUAAACAGUAGAAUGUAAUUUAUGCUUUAAAUAAAGAUCACAUAGCAAAUCAAUCGAAUUAAUAUAAUGUAUAACACAAAUAAAUCCAAGUAAUUAAUAUGCAUUUCAAAUAAACACAUGUAUUGACAGAAAGGAAAUCAUGAGUCAUAACCAUCAAUAGUUCAAACGACAUAGAACAUAAGACUAAGCUCCUCAAAUUUUGAUGUAUCCAAGUACAGACUUUCUUCCUUCCACAAUUCCCUCUUAUGAAUCACUUGCUCAAAAUAAUCUCAAUCCUCGAAAAUAUCUCAAAAACUUUUGUACCUGUAGCUAUAUAUUACACACCAAGAACCUCCGAGAUUACUUUCCAUUACCAAAAUCUUAUGCAAUUAACUUGAUCAUAGUCCUAAGUUGCACAUCAAUCACUACAUCACCAGACACCAGCUGCUAAUCUUACAGAAACCAUCUUAAGAAACAAAGCCUAGUAAAGCCUAACUCAUGUAAACAAUAGUAUGUAAUUUAUGCUUUAUACAAAGAUCACAUAGCAAAUCAAUCGAAUUAAUAUAUUGUAUACACACAAAUAAAUCCAUGUAAUUAAUAUGCAUUUCAAAUAAACACAUGCAUUGACAGAAAGAAAAUCAUAACAUUCAUAACGAUCAAUAGUUCAAUCCACAUAGAACAUAAGACUUGAGCUCCGAAAAUCAUAACUUAAUCUACAAAACUCCUUUUUAAGAGAUUCAAAUUCAGGAACGAUGUUUAACAUGUCUACUAUAACUUUUAUGCAGACAACAACUUCAAAUACUCAACUGAAAUGCACAGAUUUUAGUAAAAAGGCAGCUGGGUCAAAAACUCAGAAAACGGAUUUGCGGAAUUUCUUACCGCAGACCCUAAUUCUAUUUUUAAUCCUCAUUCUGUUUCUCCUUUAGUCUCCUCCCUUCUCUCUCCUUUGUUUUCUUACUUAUUUCUAAAAGUUGUUAUAAGUUUGGGCUCGGGUUUGGGUUUACUAACUAUUGGGUCAAGGUUAAUGUCAUGGGCUAAAAAUAGGGUUAAUCUCAAAAACUUAUGUACCUGUAGCUAUGUAUUACCUACUACGUAAACUUGAAAAUUGUAAAUCUCUCAACUCAGCCAAAUCAUUAAUGUCGAACAUAAUGCACAAAAAUGCAUUUCAUCUUCUCAUACUGCCCCAGAUUCAAAAACGUCAAACUAUCCUCAAUAUGCCCAAGCCUACUCCUCAAACUUCCUACUAUUGUUCCCAAGUAUUUACCAAAAUAAAGCCUGUUUACCACAAAAUCGGGUAACAUGUUCUUAGGAGAACCUAAUUUAACUCCUAAUAACCUUGCACUCCAAAACUAUUAGAUGUCUCUUCAAAACAACAAACCUAGUUUAGUACUCCAAGCAAUCUGCCGAAACUACUUCUCAAAGUUAUGUACAUUUUGAUCUAAUCAACGACAACAACAAUGACCUAGAACCUCCGAGUCUACUUUCCAAGUACAGACUUUCUUGCUUCCACAAUUCCCUCCAAUGAAUCACUUGCUCAAAAUAAUCUCAAUCCUCGAAAAUAUCUCAAAAACCUCUGUACCUCUAGUUAUAUAUUACCUACAAAAGAAAACUUGAAAAUUGAUAUAUUGAAGGUGUACCCAGAAAAGAGGAAGGUGUACCCGCCGGUACCGGUGGUAAAGUUGGCCGACUGUCGGCCAAAGGCCUCUGGCCGUCACACACACGCAUUGUGAUCAAUUGAAACGUUAAGCUCUUGCUUUGGUCGUCAGCUGUUAAACAGUUGUCUACUCUGCACAUAUAUACAUACAACGUUGAAUUAUAUCUAUCUAGUUGUUGUAUCACCAGUUCACCACACGUAGUUUUUCAUGUUAGACACUUUCCUCACAUAUGUGGAGACAUUUCUGCAGAUAGUUGUUACAAACCCAAUCAAUGUUUCCUCACAUAUGUGCCAGUGUUCUGCUGCACAUGGUAUUGAAAACUUCAAUAUCUACAUUUGGAUUGAAAUAGCUGNNNNNNNNNNNNNNNNNNNNAAAAAGAAAAAGAAAAAAAAAAAAACGUUUCAGCAUUCCCUCAUGGCUUUUUAUCUUCAAAUUUAUACAAGACCGAAAAAAUGAAAUUGUUUCCGAGAGGGGGGCCUGCGACCCAUCAACCUCCUACCAAUGUAGGUAGAAAACGUGAAAAUUGUAGUAGUUGCUACAUUACUACUAGGUGGCAUGAGUUGACAAAAUUUGUUUGGGAAGCUAAUAAUGCAACAAGUUUAUUUUCGAUUACUUAAUCGACAAGUUGCUUUUACUGUAUAAUGGGGGUUGUUUAGACGUUACAAUCAUCUGGGUGGCAAAGAACUUGUCAGUUGAGGUAGCAAAUGGAGAUGUGGGAACCAAAACAAAUACAUUGUACAAAUGUGGCGAAGAAAACUAGAAGAUGUUAUUCAUAAUUUCAUAUAACACAAUUAUUCAACACAAUAGCAAGGAGGCAAUGAAGCAAUAACCACUCCUUGGCACGUUAAAUACAAAGGAAAAACCAGCAACACAAAUAAAGGUGGAAAGGGAAAAUUAAGCUAUUCUAAUAGCUAACAGAUUGGAUUAUCCUCAAAUUAUCGUAAACCACAAUCCCAUCUCUCGUUCCAAGAG
rnacentral:lncRNA from 1 species